UUUUUUUUUUUUUUUUUUUUUUGGGUUUUUUUUUUUUUUGGGGGGGGGGGGGGGGGUGUUGUUGAUUGGAGGAGCGCUGAUAGAACAUGGAAUUGACGAGUGUAAUAAGCGAUUAAUAAAGUGUAUGGCUAUAAAAAAAAACUCAGGCAAAGGAAGAUAGCAGACGAUCAACAAAAAUAUGUUACCCCUGACCCAUAUGAAAGUACGAGAGAGUCUAAACUCUCAUGCUUGAAAGCAAAAAAAUUCAGUACAGAAGUGUGAAAGAAGUACAAGCAAGAAGUGCCAAGAAAACAGAUUUGCUAGUUACAGAGCUUGGCAUUCUGCCGUUGUCCUUUCUAAAGAAAAGAGCAUCAAACAAAGGUAAAUUGAUUACAAUGAAAGCCCCGCAAAGAAGAAUCUGCAAAGCCAUGGUUUCCCAAAGAAAGCUGAGAGAUAAAUUGGCCUUCAGUUUCAUUAGUAUUCCUGUCAAGCAAAACAGGUUGAGCAGUGCCAAUGUCGAUAUAAUGAUAAACAUUGGUGACGUGGUUCCAAACUCCAAUAUCUCUUCCCCGUAUCUCUUGGAGGCAUCCUCAUCAGAGACUUUGCUUGAGAUGACAAAUUUCAGGUCAGAAAAGCCUAGCAACUUUAAGAUUGUAUCCACAAAGGCUAACAGGUAAGAGCUGGUUCUUUUGUAAAGCCACAUUCUCUGUUCAUUCCACCAGCCCAGAAAUGUUCCGCCUGACAAAAGAAACUCAACAGCACUGUAUAUGUGCUCCGCGAUGAUAACAUAAGCAAAUGGAAGAAACCAUACGCUUGAGACCUGGAUUCGAAAGAAACAUAUCAACCAUCGAUUGAUAUUUGAUACAAAUUAAGGAAAAAAAGGGUAAGGGGCCGGUUGACUAUAAUAGUACGUGUAAAAAUUAGAGAACUAUGUACCUGUGGAAAUAAGGGAAUGCCUUUGAGUAGAUGAAGGGAAGGGAUGAUGGAGUAAUACAAUACCGCCACGCAAUUAGGAGACCAUAAACAGUAAAUUAAGUACCCCAUUGUAAGGCCAAUGUGAAUCCUUCCCAGUCCAUACCAUGCUGGACUGUACUUUGAAAGCAGAAUUUGUAGAUCACCCUCAGACCAUCUCUUUUGCUGCACAAGUAUCUGAUCCAAUGUCGUCCCUGCAACACCCAAAAAUGCUGGCCUUUCUGGAUUAGGAUAGACUGAUUUCCAUCCUUGGCAUUGAAUGGACAAACCAGUUAUCACGUCUUCAACUGGACACCCAUACUUUAAACCCAUCUGUAUGCCAAAAUAGUUGCUAGUGUCAUAAUAAUGAAUUUGACAACACAACAAAAUUAAUAAUGUGGAUAUGUGUAAGAACAAGACCUCAUGCCCCCAUUCAGUAUUUUGCUCGUAUGUACAGCUUGCCAGGCUCUUAAGUCUUUCUUCCAGUUCAUGCACAUUGCCCAUCUUGCACUCAUUCUGUGUCUUCAAAUCAAUCUUAUAACACUUGCUGUACUUUCUUCCACUCAGGAUUUCUCUUCUCUGAAAGCAUCCACUUCCAAUAUAUGGUGGACCUCCAAAGGCAUCCAAACCGUGGAAUUCCACCUUAAUUACAGAACCAGGGUCUUUUUAAGAUAUUGAAGCAUAACAUGGACUGACUAUACUGGUCAAGUAUGACAGAGUUUAUAAGUAAAUUAUCUACCUCUAUAGUAGCUUAAGAAUUCACGCAAUGGGGUAAUGAAACAAUAGGCAAGGUUAAUGUACACAAGCAAGAACUUCUAUGUUAUUCUACUCACCUCUCUACCCGCUGUCAUUGAGUUAGCGUACAAAUCAUUCUUAGUAAUGUUCUUGAAGAUCUGUGGAAACUGGACGUAAGCAAACUCGUGGCCUUUUUCCUCAUCCAUCAAGAAACAAAGAGCAUCUCGUAUUGAUUGUGAAUCAUUUGAGUACAUAUCACAGUCCACAUUUAGGAUCACUGGUCCAUUGCUGAUCUCGGACGACACCCUUAUCUGCAUUAAGCACAAAGUGUCUAUAAAUAUCUCACACGGGAUUAAUAUUCUAAAAAUCUUUUGGGUAUCUCAUAGGAGACAUGAGGGUAAAAAAUUAGAAAACUUAUGGAGAAGGAUUUUCAAGUCUAAAAUAGUUAUUGAAACCAACCCAGCAGAAGGACCGGGUUGGCGGAUCAGUGGUUCAACUGGCAGGUCAUUGAUUGAACCGUCGGAUCAAACUAUAUAAUAAAACAAUAUACAAUAUAAUUAAAUAAACACAUAAAUUAUAAUAAAAUUACAAAAAUUCUUAAAUAUUAACAAGUCAUAACCUAUUCAUAUUUCAUAGUUCAUACACACAAGCCAUACUCAUAUGUGUUUCUUAGUUCAUGAAUUCAUAUUGAUAUUAUAUACAAACAUAAAUGAUAAAUCUAAGUGUCAAAAAAAGAAAGAAACCCUAAUUCCCAAAUCCCUUUUCAGUUUUUCUCAUCUAACUGUCAAAAAGACGACAAUGACUAUGUUGAUGUGACUGGUCAAAUUAAAUAAUUAGAUAAAAGAUAAUUUCAUAAAAAUUUUUAAAACCCGCCGGGUAUAACGGAUCACAAGUUCGAUCGUUCGCACAAAACGGUUUAAAACGAGUCAUCUGCAACCAUGAUCCAGUUGCUAAACCGGAACGGUUCCAUGAUCGGUUCACCGGUUUGAUCGGUUCAACUUCCGGGCUGGUUUAAUAACUAUAUGUCUAAUAGAUUUGAUUCGUUCAUUAAGACCAAGAAGUGUAUCAAGUAAUCGAGUUACCAAAGCAUUCAUUGCUCCAGCUUUGAAGUUGUGAAAAUGCUCGGGUCGCUUCUCCCUAGCCAAGUACACUAGUGUAGGCAAUUUACAUCCUGCAACAUCCCUUGCUUCUGGGUCGCUUCCAUUAACGAGAAUCUGAUGAAACAAAAUAAGCACCUCUCAGCCAAAUAAGAAGUAGAAAAUGUGUUGCUUUAUUGAUCUGAGUAGACUGUGUAGUCGUAUAACGUAGAACCGAGGUUGUCCUGGCUGGAAAACCAAAAAGAGGGAAAAAAAUGCAAAUGUCUCCUUUGUAAUCUGAUCAUUUUAAUUGGGACGGUUAGUAUGAGUUCUACAUACCUGCAGGAUGGUAUCAUGAUUCCCCCGAGAUGAAGAUGAAUCCCACAUAGCAAAGCCUUUGUGUUCUGAUUUAUCGGGUAUUUGUCCUAGUUUGUUUGCAAGCAGAACCUUGUUCUCCAGUUGUUCAUAUAAUUUCUGCAAUUUCAUCAGCACAAAAUAAGAAGGCUAAUUAACUGAUGAGUUCCAAAUUAAUAGUGUCAGGCAUGCUGAAGAGCAAUAUAUCGGUAAUGCAGCAUAACUGCAUGAACAGUCUCAUGGCAACCAUGAGACACAACUAGAGAUUUUUUUUUUUUUUUGGACGGGGCUUACAUCUGCAUCUUGUGUCUUAUGUUUUGUUAUCAAUUGGCUCUUUAAUAGCUAUAUCAUGUCAUCAAUAUCAUAACUAAGGGAACUAAGUUGGUUGUGAUUGAGUAUAACUUCCAUCUGGACUUCCAUAUGAUCCAAGGUACCCCUAUAUAUGAUAGGAUUAUCAUUUUUUUUUCCUGUGGUUAGAUCAUUAUAUAUGCUGUGGCUGCCUAAUACUCCAACAAUGAAAUUGAUGUGUCGAAGCUCCUAAGGAAAUAAAUAUGAGGCAGGCCUAAUUGCAUUAUUGCAGUUGAAAGUAAAUUAUAUGAGCCCUGUGGACUUGAUUUUCCAGGUAGUCAUUGUCAAUGGUUCAAGGACGAAUAUGUUUCUUACCAAAUUCAAAUCUUUUUUGGACUUCUUUCAUUAUAAAAUUUAUUAGGACAAACAAUCUUGGUAGCUAGCUCGCUUGCUUUAUAUAUUUAUGAAAAAGUUGAACUUUCUUUUCAGCAUCAAGAAAACUGCAGUAUUUCAGGAUAUAUUAUCCUCAACUUGUCCACUGCCGUACUUAAUUGACCCAAACUAAUCAAUUGAAAAUCGAUAUGAAACUUAGCUUUUCUAUUUCUAGGUGAGAGAGACAUGGUUUCAAUGCAGAGCGGCCAAAUAGUUUUCCUCAGAAGUCAGAACUAGUUUGGUGCAUUUACCUUGAUUGAUGCAAAGUCUUUGGUAUGGUUUGCAUCCAAAAUUCGGGGAUCUGAUUCAAAGUAAGCUGCAGGAGACCUUGGCUCCACCUUGUAUUUCUUGCAAUAUGGUAGCCAAUGCUUAGAGAAAUAGGAAGCCUCCAGGAGUGCAUGGAAGGUAAGCUCCGAGCCACCAUCAUCAGAGAGAUAAACGCUGAGUUUCUCUGUUGGAUAAUCAUAUGCCAUUACAGACAAAACAGUAUUGAUCACCAUGAUUGGUGGCUCAACAGCAGGAUCAGCUGUGCAAACAAAUAUGUCCACUUUAGGCAGCUCAUUCUCGAACCUGCAAAGCACAUAGAAAAAACUCUGAAAUCCCACAAGACAGAACAUUCAAGACUCUAAAUUUUAGCGGUAUGUGAUCAUUGACGAAUCGACAAUCAUAAGAGUUUGAAGAACAAUGGGAACAAGAAGCCAAACCAAAAGCAUAGAGGAAGGAGCCAUCACCUACGGGAUAGCCUGUCGGUAAAGGUACGACGAUAUACAAGACUCCAGCGGACGGAUUGAGUGAUGAACCAGUAAAGGCCAAACCAAAUUUCAGCUCCAAACAUUCCAAUCCAAGCCCAUCUCCCAUCUUCUUGGGAUCUUGGGAUGUGACUUGCUCUAUAAAUCCAAAUCAAGAUAAUCCCAACAAAUAUGGAAGUAGCAAACAGUCUAUGAACUAUCCUACCCUUCGCCUUCUCCGUCUCAAAAAGAGGAAUAUACUCACUUUUACCAGUACCGCCACUUCCCAUUUCUGUUGUUUUCAAUAUCUCUUUCUUCACUGGUUUUUCGAACUUUCAGCUCUAUAUAUGUAGCAUACAUUAAGUUUCUAAUACCGCAGUAUUGGGCAGGCCGGGAGUUUUCAAAUAUUUAAUUAAAGCGCAGAGAGCCAUUUGAAUUCUUUGCCAUUAUAUGGAACUACUAUUUAUAUUACGCAGUUUUAUAAGACAGGAACAACCGCACACAGUUGACGAAGGCUGCUGGUGGGUUCCACUCCUACUGUAGCCUACUUUAGGGGACCCAUUGCCAGCAAUUAUUGCAGUGUACGUUACGUAAUGGAAUGCGCUAUAAGAGCUUGGGCUUGGGGAUGGCUGCCGGUGCCUGCCACAUAUAAAUCACUAGUGUACACGACUGGGGAGAGAAUGAAUUUGAUUGGAUUAGGAGUUAGGACACGAGUGGAUAAAAACCUGCAUGGCCUGAGACCGAUCCUCUGUGCCACUGUUCGGUGUCAAUCUCAUUUAUCACGUGAUAGUAGAAGAAAUUUAAAUAAACAGCACAUGACAAAUUAAAUAAAUAAGAUACUUGACAUAAAUAUAGAAGUGACAUUGAAUUAUCACCGGAAAAGUGACACUGAAGAUCCCGUGUGGAGACCUGACUCCCUGAUUAAACAAAAUUGUUGGUAUGAUUUAUUGUGAAAUUAUCAGUAUCAACAGGCACAAACAAUUUUGUUAUAGGAGUACAGUAUUUUAAAUUAAGGGUUUUUAUAACGAGUGUUGAUGAGCACUCUUUCAGAUACUUGUAUGACAUUUAAAUUCCCAUAUGUAAACACACACUCCAGACUAAGUUAGGUUCCUCUCCGUUAUACCCAAAUAAAUAUAAUCAUUUUAUUAUUUUUAAAAAUUAAGAACAUCCAUAUUAUACUUCUCUAGCUGUCUAAAGUAUGUACAAAAAUUGAAAUUAAGUUAGUUAAAUUUUAUGUUGGAUCAAAUUUUACAACUUUCAUCGUAACUUUAACCUGUUUUGCCCCGUCAAAAUGUUUUGUGCAAAUUGAAAAGCAAAACAUUCAUAAAAGAAUUUGAUUUUUGAGUAUGUUGAUUUAAUUGUGGAAAUAAAAUUACUAACACAAACAGGUUAUUGUGAAAAAUUCAAUUGUAUAAAUAUAAAAAAAAAAUGUAUAUAGAUAAAUGGAGAGAAAAAUAAUGGAGCGCUUAAAUUGUGACACUUUCUCGAAUUAACUUUCUCUUAUCGGAGUGCCUUAUGGGCGCAGGUUAGCCGAACCAUAAUUUAAAUUUUGAUAAGUAUUGUUAUAAUCAAAUACUCCUAUGUAAGUUAUCCGAAGAGAAAGCAAGUGGAUCCUUUUAAUGUACUAAAUUUUAACGUUUAGACAAAGGUACAAAAACAUCAAGAUAACGAGUUUAAUUCCUAUUCUUCUUUAAAAUUUUUUGAAAACCUUUAAAAUUAUUAAGUGUGGAGUAUUUGUUCGAUUUAUUCUGAUUUGAGUAAUCUUUGAGAUUGCUGGACUCAUUUACUGCCCAAUGUCAGGACGCUGUGAUGAAUCACCUCAUGGUUACUUUGCUUCACACUAACUUAUACACAUCAUCAAAUUCGCAGGCACACAUCCUACUAUAAACUCAGUAGUGUGAAAUUUUCUGUUACCUUUUUUAUCUUUUCCUUUCUCCAUUUUCUAAACACGGAGUUUUCUACCCCUUUUUGCAAGUGUUCUUAAAAUAUCUUCUUCGAGGUUUUUAUCAGAUAAGCACUUGUUCCGGAUUCGAAUUAACGAUCUGCUUCAUAAUUCCUUCCAUCCUUAAAAACGUUUAUCCGUCGCAUAUAUUUCCGCCACAAAUUCCCUCUGCAUCCUUUUGGUAGACCUACGUUCACGACCUGUAUAUACUAUCGCUUGACAAGCCAUGAUACAAAUCGCAAAGUUGAUGACUUUUUCUCGUCUUUUUUGCUACAGCCGAUACACACGCAGUUCUUACGAUAUCACAUUUUUAUUAGAACAAAAUUUUUUAUUCUUACCAUAAUAAACCAAUGCAAGAAUUAUUUGCGUUGCACAUCACAUCAUCUGCAUUCCCCAUCUCAAAGGCCCAAACGUAUUUGGAUUAUAUCUACCACAGAGGCCCCAGUUGACUAGUCUUUGUCUAACAGAGCGUCGCAGUCCACUUUUUUUUUUUUUUUUUUUUUGUUACUUUUCAUCAUAGACUAUUGAAGUGAGGCCGAAAGUCCAACCAAUGACUUAUUCCUCAGGCUCAGGUCUCGGUAUGCAUUUUUGGAGGAUGGCGUCAUGCUCAAAAUUUUCCCGUUUCAAUGCAAAUUGCUCAACCUUGCCCCUUUCGUCAAAUCCUAACAACUGAAGUGGGGUGUUUAAACAGAGUAUUAUUUGAAAUAAUUAAUAUAAUAUUUUUUUUUAUAAUGUAACAUAUGUAAAAUAAAAAAAAUAUUAAAAAUAUAAAAUAUAUAAAUUAUAAAAUAUAUUUAUGAUGCAAACGAAAUAUUAUUUUAUAAAAUUGAGAUAUUCGAAUACAUAGUAUCCGCUAAUACACUUUAAUUCAACUAGUAAAAAUAGAUCACUACUUAACAAAACAUCAUUGGGUAAUUCCAUUUUGUCCCCUCAAACUAUACACGGAAUCUCACUUGAAUCCCUGAACUUUAAAAUUGGACAUUUAAGUCCCUAAACUACAAAAUCUAACCCACUUAAAUAAAAUCCGUGACGGAAUCCAAAAAAUUGACAGUAGCUCAAGGAUGUGGGGGGCACGCUCCAUUAGUGUGUAUGUGUAAUUGUCAUAAACCAAAAAAGUAGGGAUAUAAAGGUAUUUUCACACUUUUUUUUUCAUUUUUUCUUUUUCCUAUUCUUCUUCAUCCCUUAUCUGCCGCCACUGACAUCUCCAGUCCUAUGCUUUUGUUCAAUGGCCUCCAAGCAUUUUUCAUCUUUCAUUUACCAAUCCAAAACUGUUUCAGUCAAAUCCCACUUCAUAUUCCAAAUCUUCAACCGUAUUCUAAAAAUCGUCGAAGUCUCACAAAAAACGUGUCUAAUCUGACCACUAAAUUUCUUGUCAAAUUCACUUCCAUGAAAUUCCUUUUUGUUGAAUUCGAAUUGUUCUUGGGGCGGCUGUGAUUUCUGCGAGAUCUGCAGUAGUACUCCUAAGGGACUGGUGGUGAAGUGGAAGAUAGACUUAGCAUUUGCUAGCGUCAUCCUGCUAUUUACAAGAACCCUGCUUCAUUUCUUACCAGAAUCCCACGAAAAUGUUGUGGUCAAAGACUCCAAGAAGCAAGGUGGGUGUAACGACCCCACCUCCCCCUAAGGCGUACCAAAGGGUUCGGCGGACCGCCUGCCCAGCUCUCGCCAGGACUCACUCACUAUCUCAAUCGAGUCAUGUACACACAUCCAUAAACUAUAAAUAACAUUCACAAUUCAAGCUUAUAAUUUACAUUGAUAGAAAUCGAGGUACAAAGUCUCAAUACACCAAACUAGUUCAAAACGUAUACAAUCCAAGUACAACAUGUUCCAUUCGAGGAAUAGCGCGAGUACAAGACCAAAAGUCAAAAGUCAAAACAAAAGGCUACGCUAGUCUUUUACAAGUCUCACGCGUCACUCGUACCCCCUGUAAGGAAAACAAAUAGCGUGGUAUGAGCUAAAAGCCCAGUGAGGUUCCAAAUAGCAAAUUGACCAUUAUUUAUAAGUACAAGUUUUCGAUAUAGGAAAGUAACGAGCAUGAAGAAUUCAUAAAAGUGAGCAAUCUCAAAAUGAGCGAGUGUAAAAGUUUUCAGAAGACACUAUAAUCCAAUAAACAAUAAUCAUUCCAAAGCAUAAGGAUACAGAUGGCUCUCAGGAGCCAACUUCCAUUCAUCAUCAGGAGCUUGAUCACAUAGUAGUUGACACUCCGUCAACUUUCAAGUAAAGGAACCAAUCCAGUAGAACACCACUUACACUACUCUCCGUCCACCAUUCACACCCCCUACUGGGCCCAAAAUCCUCAAUAAACACGGGUGGUAAUACUCGAGUAUACCGUUUAGUCGAGGAGAUAUCACUCCACUCGACAAAGCAAGAGACCCAGGGCUCGUUACCCAAUCGACCAAGCCCUUGCCGACCCGACUAGAGUAACUCGCCACAGGGUGUCUGGAAUUCCAGGAAGUGCGCGCAUCAUAACAAGUAUGUCAAGUCAAUUGCAACAAUAAACAAGUGUAUAUCAUGUAAGGGCAAGUGCGAUAAAGUACACUCUUGCCCUAACAAUUCACGCAUGUGACAUGUAAUCAUAUUGGCACGUAUCAAGCACAAGUAUCAAGUUCAAUUCAGUAUUUGAAAGCACUCACCAAAAGAUAUAGUGCUUUUACUGGUCACUUUCAGGUUAUACUCCGAGUUCGGAGUCCAAAUCUGCGAUAAAACUCAAUUUGAGAACUUUGAAACAUGACUAGAGUUCGAAACUUAGACGUUUCGUUCAAUAAGAAUCAAGAAAUUGAAAUUCACUCGGACAGUAGUCAUGAAACACUUGCUCGCUUUUUAAACGAUAAAAUUUUGUAACAUUUAUACUUGAAAUUGUCAUGUGAGUCGAGAGUACAAGGAAAACGUACUUCGAGCAAUCAUUAUUUCAUUUCCCAAGGGUACAAGUUUAGUCAAGUCCUAACGUUUAACACUCAAGAAACAUAAUAGCCAAAGUCCUCGCUAGUUCAAGUAUUAAGUACUUAACCUUCACCCAAGUCGAAAAUAUAGCAUUCUAGCCCUCGAGUAAAAAUUCGGGCAGCAUGCCCUUUGUGUUUACCUAAUUUUCCAGCCAUUUAGGCUUCAUUGUUUUUCUCAAACACAACCCAACAUCAUACAUAUUAGCAAUUUAUGUCAAGAGCCGUUCCAUAGGCUCACAAUAUCGUAAUAACAAGAAUUACAAUGAUAACAAAUGCAGAAAUUCAACUUAGCACAAGACAGAUUUGACGUACGAAUGCGGAAAUAACUUAUCCGAGGCUACGCUUAUCGGAUUAAGACGCAACCUAUGCCGUUUCGAACCUAAGAUACAGAGCUACAAUGUUCAUGAAGGUCACUUAGUCCAGUUUCUAAUGUAACUUGGUCAAAUUCUCGAAUUACUAAACCAGAAACCAAUUCGUCGGCUGUUUAAACGCAGAACACUGUAAUGGUCAUAACUCAGUGUACACAAAUCCGAAUCAGGUGUUCUUAGAGGCAUUUUAAAGAUAAUUCAGAACACUACAACUUUCAUGUUUUGGCCCAGAGCUAAAUCAGAAUGGAUCCUGGUCAAAAAUCGUGAUAAACUAGACUGAACUGAAGAAACGGACUGCUGGGAAAUACUUAAAACAGUAGGGGUAUUUUGGACUUUUCACGUUCUGCGUUGCUCCGAUUGAGCUAAAAUUUUGUAGGCACCUAUAAAAUGCCAUUCUAUACAACUUUUCUUCUUUGACCUAAGGCCAAAUCAGCCUCUAACAUACAGAUAAAAAUUCGGACAGAAUGUUGAGACAAUUUUCCAGAUUUUGGAAUUUUUGAGUUUCUAUUGCAACUUUCCUUAAUUUCUUGGUCCAAUCACUACCAAAACACCAUAUAACACCUCAAUUGCAACAUAUAAGCAUCAUAUAAUAAAUUGGGGCAGAAUUUCCACAAGCCCUAGUUCAUCAAAUAAAUUGGGGAAAACUACUAAAACAUGCUCAUCAUUCAUAAUCUCACCAUAAAAUCAAGUUACUAAGCUUAAUUAAACAAGAUUAGAAGUGAAACUUGGAGAGAUAAACUCUCUUACCUUGAAUAAAAGUCACCAAGAGUAGCACAAGCUCUCCCCUUCAAGAAUCACACCACAACUCACUAGCUAGUCACUAGAAAACAAGUUUAAUCGGUUCACUUCGCUCGAUUCCUCACUUAUUUGUUGGAUUUAGAGAUGAAAUGAAAGAUUUUCCCUUGGAGUUUCUCUUCUUGUUGUUCUAGGCCAGCAGCACCCAAAAUGAAGAAGAAAAAUGCUAAGUGUUGGAGUUAAAUGGUUGGGGUUUGUCUUGGGUAAGAAGCCAUGAGGUGGUGACAAGUGUCACCACCACCACCUCUUUUUUUUUCUCUCUUUCUUUCUUGCCUUUCUUGGCCACUAAUUUCGGUCAACCUUGCUGCAAUUUAAGAAGAUAUUAUGUACAAAAGUCAACAAACUUGUUGGGUAAGAAAAAUGGUGGUCAAGCAGUGCGUUCAAUCGGUAAUACGCGGGACCCGCCGGAUCGCGCCGUUUUUCUUAAAAACUCACGUACUAGGUUUUUCACUUCCCAUUCACUAACCUUAUACCAUUGCCACUAGUCACAUCUUAUUUCUCACUUAAAAGUCACUUUUAAUCCCCAAAUUAAUUCUUACUCUGUACCGAAAAUUCAUCCGGUUAAAAUUCGCGAAAACCCUAAUUUCGCUCCAAACUUGAAACCGAAGCGUAAAACCCUAUUUUCUAGGUUUACUUACACUUAGAGUGAAAUAUUUGGGUAGUGGCCUUUGAUAAAUACUAAUUUUCAAAUAAAAGGGUAUUUUGAGGAAAAAUACGAGGAAUUUGCGAGUCCUCACAGUGGGCUUAUUGGUGCUGGUGGCGGUGAGCUAGUUGAUGUCAAGAUAAUUAAGGGAUUUAGUGUCAAAAACUUUUCGGAUGGAAAGGCAGCCAUCAAAUACUGGUAUGAGCCACUUCUUAAGCUGCCAUAAUUUGGAUUUGGGAUGAGGAGGGCUAGUCUGAUAAGGUACAAGCAAUAUUGGGUUGGUGAUGGGUAACGAAGAUGAUGAUCUCUUGGUAGCUAGAGCAGCUUUUCAAGGGGAUGAAGAAAAGGUUUCUGGUGAACCUACAGCAGAAUUGUUAAGCAAGAAGAAUUGUGGAAGAGUCUCUAAAAACACCUCCACUGGAGGUUGCAGGAUUGGAGUUUCCUGGAGGAGAUUCGGAUCUGUCCUGGGUUCUCAUCAAAACUUGCUCCACCAUGUCCUUAUCUGCACUAGCAGACUAGCUCACCUAGUCCAACAUUCUAAAGCUGCAGCCAUGGCUUUUGUACAAGUAGAACUGGAACCAAAAGCCUAAUAGCAUCAGUAUCAUGCCGUAAGCAUAGACAUAUAAGAAUAGAAGCUUUUGAAGAUUGUUAAAGUUUUGUCUUUUGGAGAUAUCUUGAUAAUAGUAGCAAUAGGAUUGGAGCCGUCAGUGGUGGCAGAUGAGGGAAGAAGAAGAAUAGGAAAAAGAAAAAAAAGAAAAAAAAAAAAAGGAAAGAUGAGGGAGAAGGGAGAAAGGGAGUAAAAUUACCUUUAUGUCCCUAUUUUUUUGGUUUAUAACAAUUACACGUAGACACUGAUGGAGCGUCCCCCCCCCACAUCCUUAAGCUACCGUCAAUUUUUUGGAUUCCGUCACGGAUUUUAUUUAAGUGGGUUAGAUUUUGUAGUUUAGAGACUUAAAUGUCCCAUUUUAAAGUUCAGGGAUUCAAAUGAAAUUCCGUGUAUAGUUUGAGGGGACAAAGUGAAAUUAACCCAAAUAUCAUGUAUUCGAAUUUUACUGUCAACGUGAGAAUAAGGGUGUUGUGUUAGUAAUCUAUCCGUUAAAACCCUUACAAGCGACGCAUGGUCUCGGCAAAUAUAUCUUGAUCAAUAAUGAUGAUUCAAACCGUACCUAUCAAACUUUUUAUUAUUCAAAAAUAAAUAAAGUGCGAAACCAAACGCAGCGUGCAACUUUUGACCAUGACAUCCUCCCGUGGGGCAGUUGACAAUGAUUUAUUUUUUUUUUUUUUUUUGGGUCGGCUGAAACUCAUAACCCACUAAACAAAUUCAACAUUGGCAACUCGAUCGGUUGUCAGGCUGCCUUCUGCAUGUUACAGUUUCUCCAUGUUCAUUUUACUACGUUACAUUCCAAGAAUAAACAUUCUUUACGAGCUCAAAAUGUCAAGCUCAAACUCGAGCUCGAAAAUAAAAAAAUAAUUAUUACUUUUAUUUUUAAAAAUAAAAAAUGAUUAUUUUAUUUUUAAAAAUAAAUAAAAUAAUAAUUUUUUUAAUAAAUAGUAAAAUAUUAAAAAUAUAUAUAUGUAAUUUCAUUAUUAAAAUAAAAAAUAUAUAUAUAAUCAAGCUAACGAGCUAAGGAGUUUAAUGUUUUUGAGCUCGACCUAAUUAGCUCAAGCUCAACUUGAGUUCGAUAUUGACCGAUCUCGAUCACGAGCAUAUCAAUUCGUGAACAGCCCUACUCUGAUACACAUGGGGAAAGAAUUUUCACGUCUUACAUUGAUUUGGAAGUAUACAUGAUACACCCAUUGUGCUAGAUAGGUGAUUAUUCAAAAUUUUCAUAUCCAUACAUAUUUAGUAUCAAUUUUUUUUUUGUAAGAAUUUUCACGGCUUACAUUGAUUUGGAAGUAUACAUGAUACACCCAUUGUGCUAGAUAGGUGAUUAUUCAAAAUUUUCAUAUCCAUACAUAUUUAGUAUCAAUUUUUUUUUUGGUUACCAAGGAGAGCUAAGCAGCUCAAUACAUAGAUACUAUGCGGGGUGGUAACCCCCAUGAUAUCCAAAUUCAUCCAUCUCCAAACUACAUUCGGUGGAUUCUGUAAACAAUACAACCCUGGCUCUUUAUUGAGGCUAUCUUUAGCUAAGAAAUCCGCACUAUUGUUUCCUUCUCGCCAAAUAUGCGAACCACUUACCUCCCAUUCCUUGUGUCUCCACUAAUCAAUUUGUUUUAGCAUAUUAGAGUAAGGGCUCAAUUCAGGUGUCUUGUCCAGAAGCAUAGUUGCAGCUUUUGAGUCUGUUUCUAUAAUCACUCUCUUGUGUCAUAUUUAGUAUCAAUUAUCUUCACUGUCUGCUAUGCUAAUCAGCUGGAUAAUAACAGCAGUGUUUGUGAUGCAAGCAAAAUAGCAGCUUAACUACUACUAGUAUUAAGAAAACAACGAUGAUCUUCAGGCUAACACAAACUAAGAACAGGCAAAAUUAGCUAAGACUACAACAUCGUUAACAGGCAAGCACAGACCAUGGGCCUAAUUAGAUUAGCAGCAUCCACAACACAAACAUAUAGUUCCUAGAUUUUACCUCUAGCCUUCUGGUCCCCUCCCUUGAGCAUAAUUUGACAACCAGAUAUGCGUUCAAUUCCAAAGUGUAAGGGAUAGCCCGAUUGAUCAACCCUCAAGUAAGAUCAUUUCAGCACAUACAGGCAAAGAAGAGCCAUGUCCGUCAAGCAGAGCAGUCUGUUCUUGCCCUUUGCAAUAUUAAACCAAGGAAACUAUAUGAACAGCUUUCCCCAACAAAUCUCAAGCAUGAAAUUUAAUCACUAAUGAACCAACACACAUACUCCUAUAAGGAAUUUGUGUUGUAAGAUAUAAAGGACCCAUAAAAAUGAUACACAUGAAUGCAUUAAUCAAUCUAAACAACCAUCAUCCUGAUGACAUAUAAGGCACAAUAAUAUUUUGUAAGAGAACCAAAAUCUGGUGCCAAUGGACUUGCUUACAGAUAACCAACAAGCAAAAAUAAAAUGGUACUACUAAAUACGAAAAAAGUUGAAAGAUGAUCCCCAUUACUAACAAUAAUGGCAAUUUCCAUUAAUGUUUACCAUAAGCUGCAUGAAAUACGCAGCACAAUAUCAGCUACCAAUCCUUACAUUAAAGACCCCCUUAUACAUACACAAGGGAAGCAACCACAAUUUUUACAGUACAAUACGACCCAGGCGAAGACCAUACUUCGCCUUGAGAAUGCACCAUCUUUCACACUCUUAUGUACAACAAACUGGAAAUUUGGUAUAACCCCAAUUCAAGGAACAAAACACCAAACACAAACAGGUUAUCACUAUCUGAAGUCUGAACUAAACCAGCAUGAAAUUCUUCUCUCUUUUUUUAUUAUUCAUUUUCUAUUUCAGAUAAUUCAAUAGCAGCACUCAGGGCAACGAAUCAAGCCGUUCUCAUUGCACUCCGGGCACCGCUUAAGUUGCUCAUCAUCCUCGUCAAAUAUUUUACGACUUCCGCUACAAUUUGAGCAGGGCACGAACCUGGCAUCCCCACAGCCUUCGCAAAUAUACCCUAACCCAGGCUUUACUGCUCGAAUAGGCAAUCCUUUGAGCAUUUUGGCGAGCUCGCCCGCCUCAUUCAGCUGCCUCACAACAUCAGCUCCACCAAUAUACUUCCCCUUGACAAACACCUGAGGUAAACUCACGGUUUUCUCCCCCAAAACGCUCUGUAAUUCCUUCCUGUACGCGUUGUCCAUGGAAAUAUCCCUCUCGUCUAAAUUUAUGCGAAAGCCCUUGAAGAUCAUCCGAACAGCGCAGCAAUCGGCGUAGGUUCUGCGGAUUCCCCGGAGGCUGGUGAAGUAAAUGACAACUCUGUCCUCGGUACCAGGCAGCCGGAAAUGGGGGGGAUCCAAACUUAAGCUUUUCGCGGGUCUGGAAGAGGAGGACAAUGAUGAUGAGGAUAAGGAUGAUGGCUGGGGUGAUAAACUAGGGGAAGAUUGCGACGGGGGUUUUUCGAAGAGGGAACGAAGCUUCUGAACCUUACCCCUCAACGAGUUUCCCGCCGAAGCCAUUGAGCCAAAAGGGGAACUAUACAACUUCUUGACGGAGCCGGUGCGUUCGAGAGGGAGGAGGGGGGUUUUGGUAAAUUCGUACGCUGGGUUUGGGUUGUGCAGCGUUAAGGAUCGGUUGAAUCUGGAGGUAGCUUUAGGAUUUUCAGAGAAAUCAUAUUUCUGAUCAUCAUUGUUGAGAAAGGCCAUAACUACCGAUUGGAAAUGAUGCUCCUUUUUUUUUUUGGGCCUCAAAAGAUAUUAGGGUUCUUCUUUACUAAAUUUUACCCCAAAAAUAAAAAAAAAAAAGGGCAAAGAUCGAUGAUAUCGAUCGCUAAUCGAGAAAAUUUAAGAAAGAAAGAAAGAAAAAAACAAAAGAAUGAUAUAAGACCAACCAAGGUCGGAUUGUUGCUGGAGAAAGGCGGAGGAGGAGGUGAGAGGUGAGAGGUGGCGGAGAUGGGCGGUGUUUGAUGUUUUUUCAGCUUUCGGUCUAUUUGUUGGUGAAAUGAUGGAAGGUAGAGAAAAGGUGUACUUUUCUGAAAGAGGCGUGGAAACAAAGUAAUUCUAUAGAUACAGAAAUUAAAAUAAAAAUGAAAAAAUCGAUUACUUUUCCAAGAUGGAAACAUAAUACAUUCCACUGCAGACAAUUGACCCAUUCGGGCCACAUGCAUUAUGUAUCCGAAUCGUCUCGUGCAGACAAGUCCGGUAAUAAGGAGGCUGUUGGUGAGUUGGCUUUAACAAGUCCGAACUCGGCCCAUUUAGUACUUGACCUUUUAAAAAAAAAAAACCACAUAGGGAGAGUCGCCCGUAAGAUUUAUGAGCCCAAUGUAUCCCAUCAAGACUCGCAACGGUUGAGUACAGUCCAAGCUCACAAAAAGUAGGAUUAUUUCAGAUGGAGACAAUUUCAGAUUAGGAUUACAAAAAUAAAUGUCAAUGCGAGAAAGACCAAGGGGAAACACAAACUCGAAUUGGAAACAGGCAAAUUUGUGAAGGGAUUUAUUUUUUAGGUAAAGCAAAAUAGCUUCUUCUUUCAUCAGUACAAUUAGUACUGCUAUAGAUCUUCACCAAAUUGGCAAGAAACACAACCAAUAUUUUUUACGUUUUAUUAAAGGAGUUUGGAGAUUUUCUAAUGAAAUUUUCAGUGACAAACUUUCGUUCCGCGCGAAUACAAUAUAUAUAUAUAUAUCAAGUAAUUGGCUUCAUGAUGUUCUUAAGAUAAGUUCCCCCAUUAAAUCCCCACAAUGACCAGACCGAGAAAAAAUAAAGAGAAAAAGGAGUACAGCUUUAGAGAAAUUGAAAAAGAUUGUUUUUCUAUCCUUUGUUUUUCGAUAUCAGAGAAUAGUACAAUACAUUUUCUUAUAAACUAAAAAAAAGGAGAGAUAGAGAGAGGGAGACGAAGAACUGAAUAAGCAUCUACGAUCAACUACCUGAUUGUAUUCAGCAGCCAUAGAGAAUUUAGGCUCAAUAAUUGAUUCAUCAAGAAAUUUCGCAGCUGAGUUACCACCCAAGGCUGAAUUCAUUCUCUGCGGAAUGUUCAAUUCCACAGAGGGCCUCUAAUUAUUACAAACUUGAGCUAGUAAAUAGGCAUCAAAGAUGCAAGUGAGACGAUCAUAACAGAUUUCCACAAGACAGAAGAUGGCAUGCGACCCUUGUCAGUGCGGAAGAAGAGUGCUUGGUACACAGGUAUGUUGAUCAUUAUCAGUAAUCCAGAAAGGAUGAUUGGUGGGAUAAACUGCUGGAAAGCCCUUGAUGAUUCGGUAGCCAAAACAACUCUCCGGAUACCCAAAAGGAAACUGAAAAGGUUCAGGAGUGCAAUUGUUGCUAUGAUAGUAAACAUGAUCGAUGAGCUUCCAAAUUCCAAGAUUUCAUUCUCAUAUCUCUUCAUUACAUCAUCGUCAACCACCUUGGGUGUGAGAACGAAUGUUGUUUGGGAGAGGCCUAGUUGCCUAAUGACUGUGUCGAUGAAGGCAAGGAAGUAUGCAGUGGUUCUACGAAACAACCAUAUUCUUUGCGAGUUCCACCAUGAUUUCAAUGUAUCCCCACAGCUAAGAGCUUCAGCUAAGCCGUAUGCGUAUUUCGCAACAAAAACAUAUGCAAAUGGAAGAAACCACAGGCUUGAAACCUGCAAAUCAACAGGACAGUUUAUCGAAGAUUUUUAUCUAUGCUCCAUAGAACACGUACUUAGAAACGGGAGUUUUGCUGGAAUUUAAUGAAAAAUGCAAGAAUUUGAAGGUUCAGCAUCUACGCACCUCCGGAAAUAUUCGAAUGCCAUGAAGUAAGCAAAGACUAGGAGCAACUGCAUAACAAAGCGUGCCAAGGGAAAUGGGAGCCCAUAAAAGGUAGAUACAAUAUCCCAUUUGGGCACCCAGUUUGAUCUUGCCAUGGCCAUAAAUGAAAGGACAAUACUUGGAUAAGAAAAUCUGGAACAUGCCCUCGGACCACCUCUUACUCUGAACAAGAGAUUGAUCUAAAGUUGUAGCAGCAAUUCCCAGAAAGGCAUAUCUACUUGGAUUGUGAUAAAUUGGUCUCCAUCCCCUGCACUGAAUCGCUAGGCCUGUGACUAUAUCUUCCACUGGACAUCCAUAGACCAAUCCCAUCUGCAAAUUCAACAAAGUUAUCAUUAUUAACUUGUCUUAAUUGUGGCCUCUUUUCUGUAUAUACAUUUCUAUCAAAAUGCAUGUUGGUCCAGUGAUGUGUGUUGGAAAGAGACCUCUUUUCCCCAUUGAGUUCCAUCUUCAUAGCUACAGUUUGCAACUUGUUUAGAUGCUUCUUCCAACUCUUCAACAGGCCUACCUUCGAUUUCAUGUUUCACGCUCUUCAGUUCACUUCUGUUAUCCUCGGAGAAUUUCAUUCCGCAAAGACUUGCUCUCCUGUGAAAGCAUCCAGUACCACAGUAAAGGGCACCACCGUUACCAUCGAUUCCAGCCAGCUCAAUCUUCUCAUGGGAAAUUUAAGGUUUUAGUCUGCUAGAUGUCCGAAAAUGCUGACACAGAAAUGAAUGAGGAUUGAAGGUUUACCUGGUGAACAACUCUGGCCACACUUGAAUAGAUAUCAUGUUUAGUGAUGUUAUGGUAUCUUUGUGGAUAUUGCACGUAGGAGGUUCUAUGCCCUUGUUUUUCAUCCAUAAAGAAGCAUAAUGAAUCUCGAAGUGCAUCUGAAUCAUUCGAGUACAUAUCACAGUCCAAAUUGAGGAUGAUCGGUGCAUUACUUAUUUUUGAUGAAACUCUUAUCUGCACGAAAGUUCGAAAGAAUGUUUGGCUGAGACGAUGCUAAACUUUAAACAGCUCCAUUUUCUAUAUGCGACUCACAGAAGCUCUCAAACAAGGUCUAAGAUUAGCUGCGAAAUCUGAAUGUGCGAAGUGUGCAAAAACAAUCUUCGGAAGCAGGAGGGUUUUAGUAAUAUACCAAUGCAUUCAUAGAUCCGGCCUUGAAGUGGUGUGGCCGUUGUGGCCUUUUCUCCCUGGACAAGUACACCAGAGUAGGCAACUGAUGUCCAUCAAUGUCAACAGAGUUGGGAUUUCUUCUGUCAAUUAAUAUCUGAAAACGUAACGAAGAUCUUAAAUCCUAAUUUCAUUGUGUACCUUUUAGAGAGAGAAGAAUUAUAUCAAAGCUAAUAUUGGUACAUAUUACUAUGACAAUUAUUCUGAUCUACUUCAUGAGUACCUGAACAAUAGACUGAUGAUCAUUCCUUGCAAUUAAGGAAUUCCACUCUGAGAACCCCUUGUGUUUUUCCUUAAUCUCUUUUGGGAUGCCUCCCUCUUCAACAACUGUUUCAAUCCUACUCGCCAUGUCUUCAUAUAAUUUCUGAAGGAAAAACCAAAAAGAAAGAAAAUUUCAAUCUAUCUAGAAAACAGAGGAGGCUAGCAACAUUUUCCCCCCCUCCUUUACCAUCAUUUCAUUAGUCUUCUUCACAAAGAUUCCAUGACAAUCACUACUUGAACAAGUCAAGCAUAAUAAAUCCAACCUUACCUUAACUUUCGACUCCUCUUGAGCGAGAACAAGGUCGUGCGAGUCAAGAAUAUUUCUCUUAAAGUAGACUGCAGGAGCCCUGGGUUCCAGCUUGAACUUCUUGCAGAAGGGCAGCCAAUACUUUGCGAAGUCAGAGACCUCCAAAAGAGCAUAGAAUGUGAAUUCUGAUCCUCCAUCAUCGGAAAGGUAAAUGCUCAAUUUUUCAGGAGGAUAGUUAUAUGACAUGGCCGACAAUACAGUGUCAAUCACCAUAAUUGGCGGCUCAACUACAUGAUCCGCUGUGCAAAUAAAGAUAUCAACAUCUGGCAAUUUGUCUUCGUAUCUGCAACAUGGAAUCAUUGAUCAAAACGCUAACAAACAUUUUUUUCUUGUGCAUUUAAAAAAAAAAAAAAAAAGUUCUUUCUUCCACGCCCCCACGUAGCCAUUUUUUUGUAAGAUUUCUUUUCGGCCUCAUUACAAUCAAUUCCAUGCCCUGUAUACUUCAAAUUUAAGGCUCAUUAACCAACACCAGUGAAAUGAAUUCCUCUAAUUGGUUAGCUUUAAAAAUCAGUAGAGAGGACCUGUCACCUGAGUGAAAGCCUGUCUUUGAAUGGAAUCCUUUGGACAACGUUCCAGCGAACAGACUGAGUAAUGAUCCAGUAAAAACCAAACAAGAGCUCUGAGACGAACAUGCCAAUCCAAACCCAUCUUCCAGGUUCUCCAACUCCAGGGAUGUACGUUAAUCUGUACAACCAUAUCAGCACUAUGCUGACAAGUACUGUGAAAGCAAAAACUUUGUAAGCUGCAGCAACUGAACCUCCUUCUGCUGCUUUUGUCUCGAACAAAGAACGACCACUGUUUUCUUCUCUUGCUCCAUUUUCAGUGCUCAUCUUGCUCCUUCCACUCCACAGACCACGAAUCUUAUCCCAGACCUCGUUUUAUUGUGAAACUUGCAUAUAUAACGUGUUCAGAUUUUGUUGAUAUUAUUAAAUAUUCGUUGGCGUUUGCCACCCGCAGGUCCUUUGUCAUUCACUGGGCAGGCAUUCCAGCCAAUAAUAAUAACCACCGGUUUGGCUCACACUUGAAGUAAAUGGUAAUGGGUUUGUGUGGGAUUCCUUUUGCCGAAAAGGGUUGUUUGGUAAUGCUUGCACUGUUGUGGAAAUAAACAUAUUUUUUAGUUUAUUUAUUUAUUUUUGCAUCGUCUUCAACAGCCCUUGACCAAAUGCCUCUGGUGGACUACCCUCCAAAACAUCAAUUAUUAUACCUCAAAUCUCCGCAGCCGCCAGUUCUCCACCUCAAGUUUCCACUAUGGUUUCUUGAUUCAAUAAAAUGAAUAAAAAAAUCCAAGUUCUCCUUGUGAUUCAUCAUGUUUCAACAAAAACCCAACAAAAGAGGGUUAAAACCAUCACCAAUCCAUGGCGGACCCAUGGUUCUUUCAAUCAAAUCAGGAUAAGAAUUUAAGAUAUUCUUUGUAUAAUGAUCUAAAUUCACAGCCAAUCAAAUAUAAACAUUAUCCCGUAUGAAUCACACUUUACAGGGAAAUUACAAGAUCUGUACAUAAAAACACUCGUUGGUUGGUCACCAAGUGCUCUAAAUCUUACAAAAUUUGAGUGUGAAUGACAAAAACUAAAAAAUAUUCCAUGAGGUAGUGGUACUUGAUUCUCUGGUUUUGAUGUUAAAUUUGAUAGAAUAGAAAACUCCGUAAAUGAUAGUGUGAGAAGUGAAGGGAGCAGAGGGAAAUUAAUUAGUUAUGAAGAAUACAAGAAAGGCCAAGAUGCAUAUGAGAAUAUAGGAAAAUUUGCGAUGCUUUUGCUCUACUUUUUUUUUUUUUUUGGGUUAUGUAAAAUUGUUUCACACUUAACCUUUCGAAAUCCAUUUGAAAGUGUCUAAUUUGGUCGGAAAUGAGUAAUGACCAUUGUUGGCCACUUCAUACUGAUGGAGUCGCACCAAUAGAUGCCAACCAAAUAUCAUGUGCGAGAUUUGAGAUAUGAAAUCCAUAGAUUGUGGCGAUUUCCCCCAACCAAACGGGUAAUAAGUAUAACGGAGCCGACUCCAGAAUCAAAGUCUGCUAGUUUUGUCCACUACUGGUGUUUGGAAGGUUGGGUUGACUCUCUUGCGCCAGUCUUUUUGAGGAUUACGGUCAUCCCUUCAGUUCAGGGUUGAUGAUAAUUGAAUGGUAGUAUGGAAUUAAAUAUAUACGGAAGGGAUAAGGCUAGUUUUAGUGAUUGCUUCACCCCCCCCCCCCAAAGGCUAGUCUUAGUGACAACACUUUUUUCCGAAAACGGAAUAAACACACACACAAUUAGAUUAGAAACACUCGAAAAUUAAUGUCCAUUAAACCUAAACGAGACCCACAAAGAACCCACAUCCAACCAAUUGGUGACAGGACGAGGCUUCCAUGAAAUUUAAGUUUAGGUUGAAGAACUCACACACAAACCAUGUGAGACAGAUAGUCUUAGUGACAACUCAGUUGUCUUUUUUUUUAUUUUCCUUUUUCGGACUGAUAUGAGCAUUUAUUAAAGGGUUAACAACGUAAAGCCCCUGUGAUAUAGCUAUCAUACCAAAAAGGCCCAUGUGGUUUCAUAUGAUACGCGUCGAUAUCUCGUGAUUUGAAUUAUUCUGAAAAAUGGACGGAAAUCGUAAAAAUAGAUGGAGUUGAGUGAAAAGACGAAAAUACCCUAAUGAUAUAAGCGAAAAUUGCAGAAGUAAUUUUGCACUUUCAUUCUGUCAAAACCAACAAAGAGAGAGAGAAUUGCAGAAGUAAUUUUGUCCUCUCUUUUUUUAUUUUGAUAUUUGAUAACUACAUAAACCAUACAUCAUUCAUCAUACAAGUACAACACCUCUUCUCCUACAGGCUACAAGCCGCUAAACAAGUACUAAAAAUAGCAUAGCCUCUGAGUAUAUGAUACAGAGGACAGAGAGGGACCGAAAACUCCCUACCAGAAGAGAUGAAAAAAGAUUGGAGAACACCUCUUGGUGGCGAGGGAGUGAAUAUUAUUGAUGAUCAGAGUUUAUACAAGAGAUUUGGGAAAGGAAUUUGUUACAAUCUGUUCGAUGAUAUUCCCUGAACACUACUGAUCCUUUAUACUAGUAGAGAGGCAGAGCAAGUGGAGUUAGUUAUAACUAACUUCAUUUGCCAUUCCUUGCUAUUUUUGGAGCCAUGCAUGUGCUCCGCACGUAGACUUCCCAUGCAUGACCUUUCUAAUUUUGUUAAUUGGUUACAUACCCGCUAAACAGAAAAACAAAUGCAGAAGAAGAUAACAAAGUGACUAGAAAUGCCCAAAAUACCCAUGGUCAUUAUUUGUGUACGUAACAGAUGCUCCCUCUCGGAGAAAGUCCUUGUCCUCAAGGACUAAAGGCAGGAAACUUCUGUUUUAAGUCGUGCAAGAACUCCCACGUUGCAUCCUCUGGAAAUGAAUUACUCCAUUGGACCAAAACCUGAGUUGCUGCCUGGUUGCCUUUCUUCGCAAUGCGUCUGUCUAAAAUUACAACUGGUUCGACCAGCAGUUGACCUUGAUCGUUGAUUGCAGCUGGUAAAUGGGGUGCGACAGGCUGAGAUCCUAUCUUCUUUUUCAAUAGUGAUACAUGGAAGGUUGGAUGGAUGCGUGCAUGAUCAGGGAGUUGCAGUUUGUAGGCCACUUUCCCUAUUCUUUCUAUGACUGGAAAAGGCCCAAAAUACCUUGGAGCAAGCUUCUGACAGCUGGAUGAUUUGAGGGAAUGUUGUUUAUAUGGAUGCAAUUUGACAUAAACCAUGUCCCCAACUGUGAAUUCUCGGUCAGACCUACGGCCAUCAGCAAUUUGCUUCAUGCGAUUUUGAGCCUUCUGAAGGUUGUGCUUAAGGAGGUGCAGUACUUUUUCCCUUGCAGCCAAGCUUCUAUCCACAGCCUCUACUACAGAUGAACCAGGAAGAUAAGGGACAUGGAGAGGGGAUAGCUGGCCAUAAACCACUUGAAAGGGAGUGAUUUGUGUAGCUGAGUGAUAGUUCGUAUUGUACCAGAAUUCAGCUAGGGGCAGCCAGGAAUACCACGUACGAGGCUGUUCACUUGUCAUACAUCGCAGAUACCCUUCCAAGCAUCUAUUUACCACCUCCGUUUACCCGUCUGACUGAGGAUGGUAAGAACUAGAAAAGUGUAGCUGGACCUUCAAGAGCUUGAACAGUUCCGUCCAAAAUUGGCUGAGAAAGAUCGAAUCCCUAUCACUGACGAUGGUUUGAGGAAGUCCAUGUAACUUAAAAAUGUGAUCCAUGAAGGAUUGAGCAACCUCCAUCGCGGUGUAAGGGUGAGAUAAGGCGCAGAAGUGUGCAUAUUUGCUCAAACGAUCUACUACCACCAUAAUGACUUGUCUUCCUUGAGAUUUUGGGAGGCCUUCAAUAAAAUCCAUCGAGACGUCUGUCCAUAUUUUUGUUGGUAUUGGCAACGACUGUAAGAGCCCCGGAUAAGCUGCCAAAUCUGCCUUAUGCCUUUGGCAGACGUCACAAGCAGUAACGAAUUUGUAGACAUCCUCAUGCAUGUGUUUCCAAUAAAAAGUCCCCUUUAACUUCUGGAAUGUCACCAGGAUCCCAGAGUGUCCUCCGAAGGAGCUUGUGUGCCAAAAUUUUAUUAUUUUGUCCCUGAGCAUUUUGUCAGCUCCUACCACCAGUUUUCCCUUUCUCCUCAACACCUGGUUGUCCCAACUAUAAUGCUUGGCCCUGGAAGUGUCACCCGAGAUCAGCUGCUGAAUGGUUUCCUGUACCUUAGGAUCUGACUGCCAUGAUUGCUGUAUCUCAGAUAGCAAAUCCGUAGUAAUACCAUGGAUUGACCAAGAGGUGGCGGUUGCAUGAGGUAUCCUGGAUAGAGCAUCAGCUGUGACAUUUUCACUACCCUUCUUGAACUGCACCACAUAGUCAUACCCCAUCAAUUUGGAUAACCACUUCUGCUGGCUUGGUGUUGAAAUUUUUUGUUCCAUCAGAUAUUUGAGGCUCUGAUGAUCAGUUUUGAUGAUGAAAUGUCCUCCUAACAGGUAUGGUCUCCAUUUCUGUAUGGCAUUCACAAUGGCUAGCAUUUCCUUUUCAUAAACUGACAGGCCCUGGUGCUUAGGUGCUAAGGCCUUGCUAAAGAAUGCUAGUGGCCUCCCCUGCUGUAGCAAGACAGCUCCAAUGCCCAAGUUGGAAGCAUCUGUUUCUACUACAAACUCCUGGGAAAAAUCUGGUAAGGUUAGUACUGGAGGGGAAGUCAUAGCAAGCUUCAAUUGAUCGAAUGCUGUGGUAGCUCCAUCAUGCCAUGCAAAGGCAUUUUUCUUGAGCAAAUCUGUUAAGGGCCUUGCUAUCAUCCCAUAUCCUUUAAUAAACCUGCGGUAAUAGCCUGUCAAACCCAAAAAACCCCUCAACUCCUUGAUGGUAACAGGUGUAGGCCACUGCUGAAUGCUUACAAGUUUCUGAGGAUCUGCGCUAACUCCCUCUGCUGAAAUCACAUGACCCAAGUAUUCAAUCUGGUCAGCCGCAAACGAACACUUGUUCCUCUUGACCUUGAGUUGGUGUUUGAGUAACGUCUCAAACACUGUUGUCAAGUGCUGUAAGUGCUCAUCCUCGGACUUACUGUAUAUUAAGAUAUCGUCAAAGAAAACCAGCAGGAACUUCCUUAGAAAAGGCCUGAAGAUGUCAUUCAUUAAACUCUGGAAGGUUGAUGGUGCGUUGGUUAGGCCAAAUGGCAUAACUAAAAAUUCAUAGUGUCCAUCGUGAGUCCGAAAUGCCGUUUUAGCAAUAUCAUCCGAAUGCAUUCGAAUCUGGUGAUACCCCGACCUUAGAUCUAACUUAGUAAAAACAACAGCUCCAAACAGCUCAUCAAAGAGCUCUUCGAUCAAUGGAAUAGAGAAUUUAUCCUUUACCGUAGCCUUGUUGAGCUCCCUAUAGUCCACACACAUUCGCCAAGUACCGUCUUUCUUUUUUACCAAGACUACGGGAGAGGAAUAAGGGCUAUUACUGGGUCUAACAACACCAUUAUCCAACAUUUCAGUCACCAACCUUUCAAUUUCGCCUUUCUGAAAUGCAGGGUAUCUAUAAGGUCUAACAUUUAUUGGUUGUGUGCCCUCCUUGAGAUAGAUCCUGUGGUCAUGCAUUCUAGCAGGGGGUAAUAGCAUAGGUUUUUCAAAUACCUUAUUGUAAUUUGCUAAAAGUAACUCAAGUUGGUGUUUGUAGGGAGUUACCUUUACUUCACGUUCCAUGGAAGCACAGUCUGCUAUCACUUCCGCUUCUUUGUAGUCAUUUUCUGCCGUCACCAAGCACAGCUGAGCUGUUUCAAUUUGCUCAGGAGCUUCUGCAUUUGCUUUUUUGAAACUACUUGGACUGGUUGUUGUUUGAUCCCCCUUAAUACCGCCUUCUUGCCCUUCUGAACAAACUCCAUGCGUAGCUCAGAGAAAUUCCACUUAACAUCCCCUAAAGUAGAUAACCACUGCAUUCCAAGUACUACUUCACAACCGCCUACAGGUAGGACCAAUACAUCUCCCUCAAAUACUUGACCUUGCAUUCUCCACUGGAACCCAGGGCAUAGAGUGGUCGUGGUGAGAGAGCUUCCAUCUGCCACUACUACUUUAACAGGAGCAACUUGCACUGUUCUCAGGCCAAACUUUCUUACCAUGUUGGGAUGUAGGAAGUUGUGGGAACUGCCACAAUCUAUAAGGAUACUGAAGGUUUUUCUUUCGACUUGGCCAUGUACCCUCAUAGUCCUGAAAUUAGGAACCAAUAAGCUACACAUGGCACUAGUAGAAAUUUGAGCUAGAUUACCUUCUGUCACCUCUUCUUGUUCAUCCUCCUCCAAGCAUUCUGGUUCCUGUUCCUCAGUCUCCUCUUCAACACAUUCAAUCCUGAAAAGUUGCCUCCUCCUGCACUGAUGACCGGGACUGUAACGUUCAUUGCACCAGUAGCAUAGCCCCUUAGCUCUCUUUUCAUCCAUUUCAGCAGUGCUCAAGAACCGGGAGUUCCGCCUCUGUUUCCCCACAUUUCUCCCCCCUUGUUCCCCUGGUUUGGGUAAUAUAGAGGUGCUGUUCAGAUUACUCUGCCUGGCGAAGCUGUUACUCGGGCCAACAUUUGGUGAGUAAGGGGUAGGCAUUCUUGAAGGUCCUGGGUGUUUGUUGUUUUUCCAAGUAUUCAGAAUUUUGGCCUCCUCAAUUUUAGCUAGGCCCACCGCGUGUUGUAGGUCGCGAGGCAUGAACAUCCUGACUGACAACUGGAUUUCUUCCCUCAAUCCCCUUAUGAAACAGCUCACCGCAUACUGCUCAGGAAGAGCUACUCGAUUCAGCAGCUCUUUGAAUGAAUCCUGGUAUUCUUUCACGGUCCUGGUCUGCUUCAAGCUCUUCAGAUCUCCCAUGGGAUCAUCAUAAAGACAAUCCCCAAAUCUGGCGCCCAAGGCUCUCACGUACUCUUCCCAUGAAGGUGGAUCUCUAGAGAUCCUAGCCUUCAUGAAAACUUGAUGCCACUGCAGAGCCUUAUCCUCCAAAUGCAUCGCAGCUAUUCUGACCUUGGUUUCUGAAGGAGUUUCAUCGAUUUCAAAGAAUUGGUCACACUUAUAUAACCAGCUCUUGAAGUCUUCCCCUCCGAAUUUGGGAAACUCGAUGCGAGAGAAUCUGGUCGGAGUCUGAUAGCUGCCUCCGCGGCUUCCUGGAUAUUCAUCCUUAGAAUUGCGUGAUGAUUCUUGCUGCCCAGAACUCCUUUGGCUACAAACUUCCAACACCAGGCUUUUGAUUGCUUCCAGCUCUCGUUCGAACUGCUCCCUCUGUUCCUUCAGCAGAUUCCGAAUGGUUUCCUCGAACUUCCUGUUCUCUUAGCCCCUUGUGCCUUCUGCCAUUAUCACUGGAUUUUUGACUGAGCUGGGAUGACCCAGCUCUGAUACCACUGAUACAGAGGACAGAGAGGGACCGAAAACUCCCUACCAGAAGAGAUGAAAAAAGAUUGGAGAACACCUCUUGGUGGCGAGGGAGUGAAUAUUAUUGAUGAUCAGAGUUUAGACAAGAGAUUUGGGAAAGGAAUUUGUUACAAUCUGUUCGAUGAUAUUCCCUGAACACUACUGAUCCUUUAUACUAGUAGAGAGGCAGAGCAAGUGGAGUUAGUUAUAACUAACUUCAUUUGCCAUUCCUUGCUAUUUUUGGAGCCAUGCAUGUGCUCCGCACGUAGGCUUCCCAUGCAUGACCUUUCUAAUUUUGUUAAUUGGUUACAUACCCGCUAAACAGAAAAACAAAUGCAGAAGAAGAUAACAAAGUGACUAGAAAUGCCCAAAAUACCCAUGGUCAUUAUUUGUGUACGUAACAGUAUAAGUUUGACCAGCACCGAUGGCCGAAUCAACUCGCAUCCCAUCUCCCUCAUCGUCAGGCGGAACAUCCGGUGAAAGAACCAAAAAGAGCUGGUGGCCCUUUGCUUUUCUCGCAUCAGUUCUACCAGUUGUUGUAGGAGUUUUAGUCUACCAACUGGACUCCUUCGACCCUGCUCCUUACCCAGCCCACGAGUUGACUCAGAAGAAACCCCUGAUAGUGCCUAAGAGCAACCCUCGCAUGCUUAAAGGAGCAGGGAUUAUUGGGGUCGGAAAACUGCUAGGGCCUGAAGACAUAGCUUACGAUCCGAAGUCCGGAGUUAUCUAUACUGGUUGUGAGGAUGGAUGGAUAAACGAUUCAGCGGCCGACUCGAUUGUGGCGGACUGGAUAAACACUGGCGGCCGGCCUCUUGGAGUUGUUUGUGGGCACCAUAGCUGAACUAACAAUCGAAAAUAGUUGGUCAUUGAUUUGUAUCUGGAACGCUCUUCCCGUAUUUAUUUAUUGGAUUAAAAGCAUGCUGGUACAUGGUCUGACGUAAGUCGAAAAACGUUAGCUGAAUAACAAUCGAAAUGCUGUGUCCUUCAAUUUUGGCCGAAGCCGAAGACCAGAACAUUGUCUUUUGUAUUAAAGUGUGAAGGGUAAAGUAGGCAUAUCAGGUGAAAAUUUGUGAUAGAAAUCUAUUUUCCGCAAGAAACACACGCCUUUCCGGUGCGUUUAAUACAAACACAGUAAAUUUGAUGAUUUCCGUCGACUUUUCAGAAUAAUUCAAAUCACGGGUACCGACACGUAUUAUAUGAAAUCACAGGAAAUUUUUCUGUAUGAUGGCUAUACCACAGGAGACUUUUAUGUUGUUAACCCUUUAUUAAACAAUGAAUAGUUUGCAUGAUAUGAGAUUUUAAAGAAACAGUAAUAUGAUUCCAAAUAUUACAAAGAAAAUAACAAUGGUAAGCAAGAUUUACAAGAGAAAUGUGAGCUCACUUUGUCCAUGUUCUUAUUCACUCCCAUGCUAUACCACAGUCACAAUUGGAUAUCCACAAAAUAAUUGACUAGACAUCGAGUAUAUCAUCCCAAACGAUUUCUUCUAUAUUAGUGCAUUUUAACUGAUCAACAAUCCUCAUUUUGUUUAGAACAAAGAAAGGAUGCAGUCACCCGGUAGAAAAAGAUCAUUAAUUUGAAAUUUGAAAGCUAGUCAAGAUCGAUUUCCCGCACCCUCAAGAUCGAUUUUCAAUUUUAGAAGCUUGAAGGUGAAAACUCUUUGUUGAUUCACACGUGAGUUAGAUCAUCACCAUUGUCGACUUUCAUAUUCCCUCGCUGUUCUCCUGCUUCAUUCUUGAUGUUGUAGUUUUGAUUAAAGUAGUCAAUAAACAAAAAUUUUGAUCGAGCCCUACAAGACCCUUUGAACCAACUCGUCCAAUUAUUCCACCGACUCAAGUGUACGAGUACAUCUUGAAUUGGCAAGAUCACGACACAUCAGUCUUCGGAUACUCCAAAAAGUUCAUGCAGGUUUGAUGCAGAAUAGUUUAGAUUUACCUCGUCCUUUUAACUGCCCGAUAAAGAAAACUUGUGUGACCCGAAUGAAAAUUCUUGAUUAGAGGUUCAGAAACCACAUCAUUAUUUAAUCCUCACCAACAAUAGAGCGAGGCAUGUGUGUUUAUCGUUAUUAAUAAAGACAAUCGUAUAUGCCCAACGUACAAAGAAAAUUUAAACAAUCAUAAUAGUUUUAAACCUCAAUAAAAAGGGUGGAAAUUACUAAAAGAGCAAUAGAUUACAUGCAUGUAAAAUACAUAUAAUCUAAAUUAGCUAGUACUAAUUAAUACUGCUACUUGGGCAAAGAACGUUUCUUGCGUAAAUAACCAAGUCCAGGAGCAUCCAACAUUUUCUGGGCCCUUUACAUAACAGUCACACGAACAACAUCAAAAAUUGAUCACGGAUCACUGCCUAAUCAAAUCGGGGACACACUUGGAAUUAUGAGCCUGCUGGGUUACAGCAGGACAUUUCUCUGUCACGUUGCCAGAAGAACCAUCAUCAAAAUUGGCUCAGCUGAUGGUGGGUUCUCUCUUGCUUAUGCCUUGGGAUGCAUGCUGCUAUUGCUGGAACUCCAUCCUUCGCACAGCUUUGAGGGGGCAUUCAUUCACAUCAAUCUCUCUCUGGAGUCUGGACCUGUUCUUCUUCUUCUUUGGCUAAUUCCCUCCUCCCAUAGUCCCAUGUUGCUGAUGCCACUCUACUUUUUCGGUGGCCAUAUAUGACGCUAGCUGCUGAUUAAUAUACUACUAGUAUUAUUGCUGCCGGCCGAUCGAUAAUGAUAAUUUUCCUAGCUAGCUGCUACGUCUAUCCCCAUUGUUGUGUAGUGUACUUAUAUUAUAUAUAUGUACGAUGCUAGGCGGUAAAUAACUGAUGUGUGCUUUCCAUAGAAGACAGCCACACUGCAUCCUAAUCCUUAAUCCUAAGUAGGAGUUUACUGAUCUUAAUUGUUCCGGUGCUUGACAAGUGUUGGAAUACAGCAUCAUCCACUGACUCCCCUGAAGACGCAUUCUUCCUUCCUUUUUCCUGUUUAAUGUACAAGCUUUUUAAAUAAAUAAAUAAAUGAAGUACAACCAACGCUCCAACGGUUAAUUCCUUCGUUUAUUGCUUGUAAAAAAAAAUUGGGUAAGUGUUGAUCUGACAGAGGAAAGGUAUUAAUAAGCCCGACAGGCUGCGAACUUCUUUUUUUUCCAAAAUUGCUGGGCCCGGCAGCCACUGGAAUUUUUUUUGAAAAAAAAAAACUUUGGUAGCCAUCAUCAAAAGGAAAGAAAAAAACGUCAGUGGUCAUGACAAGAUUCUGUAGAUAUUAUGGUAUGUUUUGUCUUUUAAUAUGUUAUCAUGUUUUUUGACAAGAUUCUGCAGAUAUUAUGGCCAUUGGUGCUUAUCACCUGGUGGUUUAUUUCAUGCAUCUUUGAUAUGCUAUUUGUUUCUGUACAUCCUCGACAAGUUUGAAUACUUAGUGCUGCCCAAAAUUCUACAAAAAAAAUAAAAAAUUCGACGUAGUUGAUAUUGCUUCUUUACCAAUUGGGAUAAUAUCAGAAACCUCCUUGAGGUUUUUUUUUAAUAUCACUUGACACUCUUGAAGUUUUUGAAAUAUCACUUACCUCCCCUAAUACUUGUAAAAAGUUUAUAUUAAUUUUCACUUGACACUUAAUUCAUAUAUCAAAUAAAUCGAGUUCAAAAAAAUUUUUUUUUUAAAAAAAUAAAAGUCACUUUCUUCUCUUUCCUUUUUCUCCAUCAUUUUCUCUUACUCAUUGUUUGGAUGACUAUGCAAUAUUUUAUUUGUAAAUUAUAAUAAAUUAAAUUUUGUUUAUCUUUUAUUUUUUAUAAUUGUUAUAAAAUAGAAUAUGAUUUAUUUGCUUAUUUUGAGUUAACUUUUAUAAUGAUUGGUACAAUUUAAUAGUUUGUGCAAGGGUUGAGAAAAUGUUAAAAAAAAUGUAGAGCGGUUUUAAACAUAUAGAGUUAAAUUGGUGCAAAUCUAUUUCUUUUCAAAUAUAUUUUUUAUUUUUUAAGUCUAUAUUUUUAUGAAGUAUAGCAUUAUGAUGUGAUAGUACUACAAAAGAUUUUUUUUAGGUGAUGAUUCUCUUGAAGUGAACAAAGUGGUUUAGGAGUAUUUGUAUUUAGCAAAUGAAUGGGCAGUUUAAAACUUUUAAAAGUUUUGUUAUACAAAUAACAAAAAUAAGGGAGGUAAGUGAUAUUUUAAAACCUUAAAGGUGCCAUGCGAUAUUAAGAAAAAUCUCAGAGGAGGUUUUUGAUAUUAUCCCUUACCAAUUAAUUCUUCUCUCCUUCAAUGCUUUGCCUAACGAUUCUACCAAGGAACUUAUUGAAACUGAACAACCAUUUCUUGAGGAAAAGUUUGAAUACCAACCUGGUCAUGACUAGACCUGACAAUCAUAUUCAAAACCUAACAACCCACCCAACCCACCCACUAAUUUGAGAGGUUGGGUUGGGUAAGUUGGGUAUUGGGUCAAUUUUGAGUUGAGUAAUAAAAACCCACAUAUAUAUUUGGACGGUUUGGGUAUUUGUGUUAGGCACCCAUUACCCAACUUUUGCUAAUUGAAUCAAGUGAAUAAUCAACACAAUCUUAAAAGGGUGAAUAGUUACUCAAAAGCAUCAACUAUAGACUUUUUUUAAAUUAUUUUUUGCUAUAAACAUCUUUUGUGAUUAUAACAUAAUUCGCCAAGCAAGUUAAAAUUUUUUUACUUGGCAUAUUUUUAAUUCCUUGGCUACAUACUUAAUAGGGUAUUACCCUAUAUAUGGACAAGGCCAGAUGUGUUAGAAUAGUUGCCAGAUUCAUCGUGACAAAAAAAUUAAUUUGCAUUUAUGAGUUAGAUAUUUAGCUACAAUGUGACCUUUUUUCAUUUAUAUUAUCGUCAUCAAAAUGUUCAGUAUGAAGAAUUUGAACAUUAUUAAAUUCGAAAUUAAUUUUGAGACAUUAAUGUUAACUUACAACUACUCAUGUCCUCGGUGCUUAAUAACUACCACAUAACUCAUUCAUGCUAAAAGAUUUUUGUUUUUGUAAACUGUAUUCUCAAUAUGUAAAAACUACAUAAAUCCAAAAUUACCAUACUUUCUUUGUGAAAAUAUUAGCAUAAAAUCUUUUUUUAGGCGAUUUGGGUAUUUGUGUUGGACACCCAUUUAAAUUUUUUUUUUUGUAUGUGAAAAUAUAUUUGAGAGAGUUUAUAUAUCAAAAUCUAUUAAUUAAUAUAUUGGGUCAUGGGUUUGAGAUGACCCAAUAUGACCCAACCCAAAAUUAACCCAAUCUAAAGUUGGGCGGGUUGGGUGUAACCUAUUUAAAUGAAAAUCCAAUAUUAACCCGCCCAAAACCCUCCCAACCGGCCCAAUUGCCAGGUAUAGUCAUGACCGCCGACAUUAUUUUUUUCUUUUGAUGAUGUCAGCCCGGUUGCCAUCAGGUAUGAUUAUUAUUAUUAUUUUAGCAAUAUAUGAAGGAAUUAGCCGGCUCCAAUGGAUCAUAGCUCUACAAUUGCCAUUCUCAAUAUUUUGGGCUGUAAUUGAACUAAACUGCUCAUAAUCAACUCAAUCAAAAACUCAAUUCAGAUUCUAAUUGACCAAAAUUGAAUCGAGUUUGAGUAGUUCGACAAGUCUAGCAAAUCGAAUUCGAGUAUCAAAUAAUAAGGAUCGAAGGUUCGUCAAGUCUUAUCGAAUUUUUCAAUUUUAAUUCUUUAAUAUAUUAUUAUUAUGGAAUUAUCCUUGUAUCCAAACAAGUGGUUGAAUUUUUGAAAUGUUUCAAGUCAUAUGAAAGUUUUUAACGGGUAAUAAUGUCUUUUCAAUCAAAAUUACUAAAAGAAUUGAAAUUCGUAAGUCUUUUUGACUCGAAUUUGAUAAGAUUCAUAUUGACUUGAAUCCAUGCGAGUCGAAUUCGAAUUCCAAUAAUACUAUUUGUUCGAGCUCGAGUAUCUUUUCUGCAUGUCAAGUUGAGCUCGAGUAUAGCGAUACUCGAGAUUAACUUGAUUCGAUUACAUCUUCAGUCAAUCAGCACUAAAACCACAAAUGUGCAAACUAAAACAACAAGAAACGUAUCGAAACAGUUGUUGGGCGCAAAUUUCAAUAAGCGAUAAAUUUAAGGAGACAAAAGGGUUUUUGAUGCUUGUUGAGAAACCAAACAAAAUCAUGGCGCAAAAACUUGGGCCCUUUCAAGAGCAAACAAGUAGUCUUUGGGCUUAAGAUCCAACUCCACCUUGUUAGUUUCGUUUUGGGUGUGACCCGUGCGCGAAUGCCAUUGGCGGGGGCCCGCUGCAGAAAUGGAAAGUGCUGGAGCCGAGAACAAGUUAAAUCAAAUGAGACACAACAACGAUAUCACGUCCUAUCGUUUCCAAAAAAAAUGGAAAAAAACAACGAUAUAACGCGUUUUGAGGAAAUUUCUGGGGGCCGGAACCGGAAGACGUGCCUUAUCAGAACGCGGGGCCCGGUCUAGCAGCUCUGCUUGGUCGAUUUAAUCCCAAACUUGAACAAACUCUGCCAUAGCCCAAACUAUACGGAUUAAUUUUCCAAAAGUCUUGUCUCCUAAAUUAUGGUUGCCUGCUUUUAUGUGGCUGGGUGGUAAGUGUCCUAGUUGCAUGAUAAGACAAGACAAUGGCUUCAUAUUCUUAGAAAGGUUUUUGUGGUUGGUGGAUCUAAAUAUGCAUUCUUUGAUUUUCUUGUACAAAAUUAUUGUAAUUAAUGCACAGAUUUCUCAAAUUUCUUGUAAAAUCAAACUAUUUACUAAAGAACUUCUAGUUUUUGUUUUCCGGUUUAUCUAACAUGUACCCUGUGAACACUCAUUAACAUGUAUUUCAAGUGUUUAAUUUUUAAGAAUAUAAAAUUAAAUAGGAAAAAUGAUAAACGCACAAAAAAUAGUAAUUAUUAAUAUAUGUAUAUACAUAAUAAAUUUGGUAGAAUGUAGUUGUGCUUGACGAAUUACAUAUUAAAAAACAUUUUUUUUAUAGCAAAUAUAUGACCCGCAAUGGUCAAAAAUAAGGUUAGCGCCAUGGGUAUCAUUGAUGGUUCAUUUGUGCUUGAUUUAAAAUCAGAUGAACGAGAUUAAUUGCAAGGUAUAAAUCUCAACGUGCGACAGAAUUUUGAGUCUCGUAAAUAGACUAAUGGAUAACUCACCUCCUCGCUAUUAGAAUUCCUAGUUUGCAUGUAUCACACAAAAAUAUCAUGACGUUUAAGUUGUAAUUGUAAAGUCUAUACAUUCAAUACAUACCUUACAUGACAUUUAAGUUGGUCAAUGAUUGUCCUCAUCCUUUGGAGUGCGACAAAGACCGAUACUUGUUAUGGCAUCAUGACUUCCUUUUCGUGGUGAGGGUAGAUUUAUGAUACUGAUCCUUAGACUUUGAAAUAAGAUUAGGAUGAGAAAUUCAACGUAAAUUUUUUUUUUAGAACGUUUUUUCACCUAUUUAUUUGUGAACUCUCUUUUUUUAAAAAAAAAAAAAAUCUCAAAUAUAUGUUAUCUCAACAAUCAUUACAAUUCCAAGUUAUCAGUUUACUAUAGUAUCAAGACUCACUCUAAACGUAAUCAUAUGUGUCAUGAAUAAAACUAUUAAACUAUAAUUCAAUAAGACGUCUUUUGGAUUUUUUUUUUUGUUCAAGAGAAUUUCUAAGCUUUAUAAGGAAAAUGGAAAUGACUUGAAAGUUCUGAUUAAUAUUCUUACUAACGUUAAGUUAUGAGGACUCAUUUUAAAAAUUUGUUUAAAGAGAGAAUUACAGUUUUGAUCUUAAAUAUUUUGGAUAUGAGUACUAAAGUUUGGAUGAAAGCAAAUAUAGUUCCAAAAAAUUUCAUUUUUUAUGCAUAUUUAGCCCUAAUGACUUAUUUUUAUCAAUAUCUACCGCAAUCAGGUAAUCUGCUAGCAACUAUUUUUAGAAAAAUUUUACAAAUUAAUAAAAUAUUGUUGGCCAUAAUUUUGUAAUGAAAAAAAAUGCCUUAUUACUCAUAUGCCAGUCACAGUGUAAUCUUUUUUGAUUUUGUAACUUUGUUAAAUUUAAUUAUUUUUUAUAUCAGAUAUAUCUAUGACACAUUCUAUAUAUUUUUGACUAUUAGUGCAGAUUUUUUUGUUAAAAAAAUCGUGUUGGACGAUUUCUGGUUAGUACAUUAAUAAUAUUGGCUUCUAAUUUAUAUAAAGUAACAAUAGUAAAUUCGACUAGGUUUUAAACCCCUUUUAGGAAGGUAAAAUUGAAUUGAAAUAUAGUUCAAAAGGAAAACACCCCCCAUUCUCAAUCUUUUCAAUAAAACCACAACUAAUUUAUUUCUUUGCACAAAAGGUACAUUCCAAAGGUGACCGAAUGGUGCACAUAUUCGAGCCCAGUCUAAAACUCAAAUAGACCAGCAGCAUAAUUGAGCGGAUCUACACAUAUAUUCAACAUCCCUAUUGCAGGAAUCAUCCCCCACCCCCCCCCCCCCCAACAAAAAAGAAUCUAUCAUCAUCCCUUCCCUAUUCUCGUAUAUUAGGCUAGUUUAGAUUAUAGAAAUCCUAUAAUUAGAACAAAAAAAAAAUCACCCCUUCCCACUACACUUGAGAGUAUGGUAUUUUUCUUCCUAUCCUAUUUCUGCCAUUAACUUUUAGACCGACAAGUGUUCGCACAUGAUGCACGUAAUAUAAGACGUGACCGUAGCCCCGAAGACUCGUGAAAGCGAACCACCAAACCAACAAAGCCGAAACCAUCCAAAACCUAACAAUUAUUAACAAAGCUCCCACAAAUACAAUCCAAUUACAUUACACAUUUCUCUAUCUACUUUUCGAUAUAGUCAGCACGGACGCUGCCAUUUGCUGACCUGGCAUCCCGUCUUCUCUUCCCUCUGAUUUGCCCGUCAUCAACCAUGUAAAGAAAAAAAAGAAAGAAAAAUCUAUCUUUUAGAGUUUUCAAAAAUCAAAUCUUUCACCUUCAUAUACUCAAGACUCUCUCUUCCUUCUCUCUCCUGUUGGCCCAAACAAAAAAAAAAAAAAGAACUCAUCUUUUGCAGUCAAUUUUACUCCGUAUUUUUUGUUUGUUCAAAAAGAAAUAAAGUUAGGUUUUGUGUGUUUUGUUUGUUUUCUCACGAGGGUUUAAACUUUUUUGGGGGACCGGAAUAUUUGUUGUUGAGGAAAUUUUGAAGCCUUGUACUUUUCUUGGUGGUUGUUUGUGUCUGUACUGAGAGUUUUGAUGAACGUUUUGACUAUUGUUGAAGACUGAAGAUUGGUGAAGUGAUCAAGAUAGAAUUAUUGCUCUGGCAGCUGCUUUCAAGAACUUACUGCUGCAGUAAGAUUAAAACCCUUUUUGGGAUUUUUUUUUUUAAGUUUUACUAGAACGAGUUUUAGGUUUAAUGGUGCCUUUAGCCUCUUUUCUUUCUUCCCUUAAUGUGUACUGGGGUUUUUCUUGAGCGAGUUAUCACUAAGCCUGUUUUUUUUUCCCAGUACGAUGCACUCUUUUGGUUUUUCGAUUUUUUUUCUUUUCUUUAUAGUAAUUUUGAUGAUCCUUUGAUCUAGUUUGGCUUCAAGUUUUCAGCUUAAUAAUAUGUAAAUCGUCAAGAUUAAAAAUUGCGAAGAAGUUACAAUUGUGUUGUUGCAUAUGUGUGAUUUAGGAAGAAUUCGUGAUUGUGGUUUUUAACCACAUUUAUCAGGUAAUUUAUGUUGGUUUAUGCGUAGAUUUGGUACUUAGUUUCGUGAGUUCUUGUUUAUGUAAAAUAGAAUGGCGUGGUUCGAACUCUUGUCGGCACGGAAUAUUCUCAGCAAUACUGAUGAGCUAAUAUCGUCCGGCUAAAUUCCAGUGAACCAGUUUGCUCUUUGAGGCACCCUGUUGAAUAGGUUUUCUUGCCCUUUUUCUUUUUGGGUCCUUUUUAAACUUCGAAGUUUUUGAAAUGCUAGAUCAGUCUAUCGGCAUGUUCUUCAAGGUUUCCCCGGCAAUGCUGUAUGGGAUUUUGUUAAAGAACUCUUUUUCAUGACCGCACAAAUUCAAGUCUUAUGAUAUUUCCCUAAUAAUUCUCUUCCAUGUCUUGCAAAGUUAAGAAACUGGAAACAGGGGAAUCUUUUUUGAGAAGGUCUCCUCAGAAAAGACAGUUUCAGACAAACAUGUCCAGUCCUUUGUAUGUUCUCUGUUUAUAUUAUUUGAAAGAUGAAUAAUCGUUGCAUUCUUAAGCUAACGUUACUUCAUUUGGAGGUUUGUUGAUAUCUCUUUAAAUGUUAUUGCCUUAAUUAAAGCCAGGUCUUUGAAUGUGCUACUGUCGGAAGCAUUUUACUUCAUUUACUUCUUUUGCAAUACGGCGUUCACUUACAUAAAGUAUUUAAUUGAAAGGUUUUUCAAAAAGAGUCCAAAUAAGGUGAUUACUGAAGGAUUGCUGAAACAACUUCAAGAGAAACAUGUGUAGACUUUUAUAUUUGAAAGCUAACAAUUUGCAACCCGAAAUUUGGUGUCUAUCAUUUAAGUUUCUUUCAACCUUUCAAGUUAGGCUUUGUUUUUGUUGUGUCCACCUUUUGCUUUAUGGUUUAGUUAUGAUUUUUAAGCAAGAAUGGACCUUCUUUUUGUUGGGAUGCUUCCCUCCACUCCCUGCCCCCUCCCCCUCUUUAUCAGUGACCACCUUUUAAUUGUAUGUAUCAGUUAUAUCCUUUGUUACCUUUUUACUCAUCUUUCUUAUUGUUUAUAUUGUUUUUUUAUACAUCCAGUUUUCAAUUUUAUUAGUAAAAAUGAAAUAUUGAGCUUUCCGUUUCAUGGGGACAUGAUAUGCUUAAGAAGUUUAUACUUCUAUCUCAAGCUUGUAGUCUACUUAAAUGUUAAGGCGUAGAUCUUUUUUAUGAUUGACUCCCACACCCCCCGCCCCCCCAAAAAAAAACCCCCAAGAAAAAAGAAGAAGAAGAAGAAGAAGAAGAAGAAAGGGUAAUGUUAUACACGACACACAACAUGUGAGAAUUUUAGUAUAACCUAAGUACUCUCUCUCUGUGUAUGGCUGGACACAGACAGACAUCUGUAUGUCUCCAAGUUGAAGCUGUCGAUAACUGACAAAGUUCCUUCAGAUGCUUUUCUUUGUGACUUGUUCCCCUUUGGUCUUAAACAGCUUAAAUUUAGUGAUACGUGACUUUUUUGUAUCUGAAGCUUCUUGUGCAUUAUGAGCUUUGCAUGAAUGAACUUUUUUUUACCUUGCCUUGAGUUAUACUCUCUAGUUAGUUUGUAGAGCCCUUUCCAGGUUUACUCUCUCAUAAUAGUCUUUCCUGUUUGGGUGUUUUUGACAGGUGAAUGUUCAUAGGAGAUUCAAGUGAGAUGGUUGCAAAAGAUCGUCAAAAGAACACAGGAUCUCCUAAAGUUGUAGUGGGAGAGAUAGACACUAGUGCACCUUUUCAGUCAGUUAAAGAUGCCGUCAAUUUAUUUGGCGAGGGUGCUUUCUCAGGGGAAAAACCUGCCACUAGAAAAGUAAAGGCAUAUUCUGCAGAGGUACAUCUACUACCCCUUUUCUUAGAUUAUUGUCAUCCUUGGCCCUGAUUGCUGAUGCUUUUCUCUAGUCUUAGCAAUAUGUCACUGAUGACUUGUGGGGCUAUACAGUUUUAAGGUUUAAUAAAUGAAAAUUAUGUCCUUAGUCAAGAUUUGGUUGUGCAUUUGAAUUUGUGAUUUGUUAGUAUAAAUGUUUUUUAGACCAAUAAAACUGUGGAUCCCAUACAUGUUACAGUUGGUCUGUGCAUCUACUGUCAACAUUUUAUAGUCUGAACUUGCAGCUUGCUUAUUAUACCCUGUAGCUUAUGCUUUCUCUGCUUCUUUGUUAUUUCAGAGAGUAUUAGCAAAGGAGACACAGCUUCACUUGGUUCAGAAAGAGCUCAAUAAGUUGAAAGAUCAAUUGAAGAAUGCUGAAAGUACAAGAGCCCAAGCACUUUCAGACCUUGAAAAGGCUAAACGAGCCGUUGAGGGUUUGACUGCCAAACUCAAUACUGUUGGUGAGUCGAAGAAUUUGGCGAUUAAAGCAACAGAAGUGGCAAAGAAUCACAUGGAUAAGAUGGAAGAAGCAGAAAGGUGCAAUUCCAAUGGUGUUGAUGGUUCUCGGAGAGAGAAUCUUGAAAGUGCGAGAGAACAUUAUAUGGCUGUGAGUGCCGAACUUGAUGCUACAAAACAAGAUCUGAGGAAGAUCCGUCAGGAUUAUGAUGCAUCUGGGGAAGCCAAAGCUGCAGCAAUCAAGCAGGUAGCAGAAGCUGAGGUUGCUGCUAAAGCAAAUAUGGAGAAAGCUGGUGAACUAUCCAAAGAAAUUGCUGUUCUUCAGGAGUCAAUUGAACAGGUGAAGCUUGCCAGUAUGCAAUCACAGGAUGAAGAAGCGAAGUUAUAUGCUGAUAAGGAUGUCCUGAAGCAGUCUUACAAAACCAGACUGGAGGAGUCUGCAAAUAAACUGAAUGCCUUGAAGAAGGAGAUUGAUCCUGAACUGACUCGAAAUCUGGAAACACAGUUGGCUGAAACCAUGUUGCAAAUUGAACAGCUAAGAAAAGAGAUGGACAGCACAAAGGCUUCAGAUCUUGAUUCUGUGAAGAUGGUUACUACAGAGCUGGAUGAUGCUAAGGAAUCAUUGCAAAAGGUAGCAGAAGAGGAGAGCUCAAUGCGGAGCUUGGUGGAAAAACUUAAACUUGAGCUUGAGAAUGUAAAAAAGGAGCAUUCAGAGUUGAAAGAAAAGGAAGCGGACACAGAAUCAAUAGCUGGAAAUCUGCAUGUCAAGCUUCGCAAAACCAAGUCUGAGCUGGAAGCAGCCCUUGGAGAAAAGUCGAAAAUAGAAGGUGCUUCUGAUGAUAUGCUCUCUACCCUCGAGCAGCUGUCAUCGGAGAAUGAAAUUGCAAGAAAUGAGGCAGAGGAGAUGAAGAAGCAAGCUGAGGAGUUGAAGAAAGAAUCUGAAGCCACCAGAAUUCUUCUAGAAGAAGCAGAAGAAAGGUUAAAAGUUGGAUUGCAAGAUGCUGAAGAAGCCAAAGUAGCUGAGGCUAGCGCCCUCGAUCAGAUUAAAGUUAUGUCCGAGCGAACCAAUGCUGCACGUGCAUCUACCUCUGAAACAGGUGCCCAGAUCACCAUAUCGAGAGAUGAAUUCGAGUCAUUAAGCAAAAAAGUUGAAGAAUCUGACAAGUUGGCAGAAAUGAAAGUGGCUGCUGCAAUAGCUCAGGUGGAAGCUGUGAAAGCAAGCGAAAAUGAGGCCCUGAAGAAGUUAGAGGCCACUCAGAAGGAGAUUGAUGAAAUUAAAGCUGCAACUCAGGAGGCAUUGAAAAGGGCAGAGAUGGCUGAGGCUGCCAAGAAAGCCGUGGAGGGAGAACUAAGGAGGUGGCAUGAGCGUGAGCAAAAGAAGGCGGCAGAAGCAGCAUCAAGAAUUCUUGCCGAAACAGAUAUGUCCUUCACUGCUUCUCCAAAUAAUUACCGAAUUCAAAAGCAGAAUCCUCCAGAGAAAAGGAUGGAAUUCCGAAAGCUGGAUAGAGCAAAAACCUCUGUUUCAAGGAAAGUACUUAUGCCUAGUAUCACUGGUAUAUUCCACAGGAAGAGAAACCAAGUUGAAGGUGGUUCUCCUUCUUAUCUGCCCGGAGAGGAGCCUGUGUGAUAAAGGGUAUGGUUAAAGCCGAAGUAGUUUAUCUGUGUAUAUUUUAGAGACGUGCAAACAUUUUUCCUGUUUUUGUUUCACUUUCCUGACGGGGUCUAUUUUGCUGAAAACAGUUUGGAGGAGGAUUGGAUGCCUUUCAGAUUUAGAUAAUUGGCUGGAAAUAUUAUUACAUAUUUUGUGUGAUCGUUGCCUGUGUGCAGCAUAUGAAAAUAAAUGCUGGGAAGUGAAUGUGCUGUCAGUGGAGAUUCAUACGAUUCACAACAUGAGUUUGAAUUGGUCUAAUCCAAGUGUUAGGCACAGAAGCCUGAAGUAAAUUCUGCAAAGAGUCCCAAAUUGAGUCAUUAGUUCUGAUAUGACACGGCAAAUGAUGAUGGUAUUGGUCUCACAAUAUAUAUAUUUUGUAGGGUUGGUCUCACAAUGUUGAAGUCAAUAAUCUAUCAGCAGAGUCUACGGAUAACAUUAAUUGAUAUGUUCCACUGAAAAAUCAGAUGCUGCCACCCUCCUCCCUACAUUCUGAUCUUGCAGUAGUUAGUUUGCUUUCGAGGGCAGGGCACUAAAGCAAUAAUCUUGCAAUCGCAGAAUGUAGUAUGGUGAUGGUUCGCACGAUCACAAGUUGGAACGUGACAUAAGCUAUAGUUCUUCUUUUGCGAUUGAUAGCAUAAAAUGAAAUAUUUGAAUGAAUGAAUUAAAUAAUAUUAAAUUUUUUUAAAUAAAAUUUAUUUCAAAAUAUAAGUGAUAUGUUAUCCACUUAUCAUUUCAUAUAAUAUAGUAUUUUUUAAAUAAAAUUUAUUUUAAAAAAAAGUGAUGCGCUAUUCACUUAUUAUUUGAUAUGAUAUGUACUCAAUGUAUCAUAUUUGAUUUAAUGAAUUCAGAAUGUAAUUUACAGACCUUAAUUUUAUCAAAUUCACCCUUAACUCAGAUUUUCUUCUUAACCCCACAAGCACAAAACACAUGUUAAAGAGGGAGUAAAAUGGAAAGUGAAUAACAAAACUAAUUAUUGUUUUCCUUUCCUUCCUUUUUUUUUUUUUUUUUUUCUAGUUUCAUCAACUGUGUAAUUAUUGUUAAAAAUGAAUAUGAGAGAAGUUUGGAAAAUAAAAAAAAUGAGAAUAAAAGGGGGUUAAGUUUCACUGGUGCCCUUGACUCCUCAGAGGACCAAAACUGACCAUGACAAAUUGACAACUACUAAUACUGCUACUACGUCUGUAACCAUCACUCCCGAAUGAGGCAGUAAAUCUAUAUCCGAUCUCUUCCUCCGAUCUCCGGCGAAGUCAAAUGCCAAAGUGGCCCUUUCUCCACACCCGAACCAAUUAUUACCAUUAGUCUCAUUCAACACCAACAUUAAGGUUUAAACCGCCAUUCUUUCUCUUUCUUUCUUUCUUUGAGGACAACGUCGAACACUUUCAUGGCUAGCACUCGAGAGGAUGCUCUCUCGUUCUUGAACCCUUCUACUUCUUCUCCAGUCACAGUCUCCGACGCUGACAGCUUUCUGCUCGACAGCUCCCAAAUCGGUAGCGCCUCCGGAAGCUUCCAAAACGAGGGAUUUCUUGGAGGCCUUGAUGCUACUGCUGCAGCUGUAAAUAUUGAUGCUGAGUUUGGAUUCUCUAGGCCUGAUUUUAGGCAGAGCCCGUUGGUCGGAACAGUCGAGUUCUAUGAGCGCCACGUGUUCCUUUGUUACAAGAAUCCGCAGGUUUGGCCUCCUCGGAUUGAGGCUGCUGAGUUUGAUCGCUUGCCCAGGCUUCUUUCUGCCGCUCUAUGUGCUAGGAAGGCUGAUAUGAAGAGACAGGUUGGUGGUUUUUUUCCCCCAGUUUUUCUCUUUGAGGUUUUAGUUGAUCUGGAUUUAAAAUUUUUUUUUUAUCUUAAUUUAUAGUGGGCUUUUAGUAAUUUGUUGAUUAAUGGUUAUUUGUGUUGAUUUCUGGCAGAUUUUUGGGUGGGUUCUUGGGGUUGAGGUUGGCAUUUAGUGUAUGUUGUUGCUUCGUUAAACUAAAAAGACCGAAAGACUAGUCUUUUUUGAGCAUUACGCUAACAGGAUGUUGCCUUUUUUAUCUUGUAUGCUGUUACGACCAUCUUAAUUUGUGUGGACAGUUAUUUCAUCAAUUUCGUUACCUGCAAGAAUUUUGAAUCUUGAAACAUGCAUUUGUUAGUGUAAUUUAUGAUCAAUUUAUUUUCAGUUGGUAUGACAAAUGAUAAUCAAAAUUCUUGCUGAUUAGUAGUAUGCUCUGUCAUCAAUAUAUUAUGUGUUUGUUGACCAAUGUCUUCCUCAAAACUGGAUCUUGAGCUGCAUUUUACUAGUAGAAUUAGGGCCAAUGUGAUAUUGGAUUUUGAGAAGCGUCUUUUUUACUCUUCUCCUGAACUGGACCUUAGGCUGCAUUUUAUCACUAGAGUUAGGACCAGCGUGAUAUUGGAUUUUAAGAGGUGUCUUUUUUACUCUUUCCCGACUUCUGGUUGAUGUAUUUUGAGAGGAUAUGACACCAUGAAUCGUAUUGCUCUGUCAGCAGAGUAUGUUUUGUACUUUUUAUUAGCAAAUGUUUGUGCUGAAGCGUGCGUUUUGAUUUGUGCGCGGAUUCUACAGGAAUAUUUCUGGAAGUAAUAUAGUGGUUAUUCCUCAUAUAUUAGGAAUGAGUUACCUAUAUAGAGAAAUGUUCCACAACCUCUAUCCUCUUUAGCUUGCCAAGUCUUGUAAUGCCCAAUGCUGCUAGCCAUUGGAUAAGGAGGUGGCUGCUCAUCCGUGCAGGGGUGGCUGUGUGAAGUCUAGCUUUAUAAACUUAUGUUCCAUUUUAUGUGGGUGUACUUUCAUUUCACAGCCUUGGAUAUUCAGAAUCUCUAACUUUCUCUUUAAUCCUUUUCUUUUAAGAUUCGGUUAGCAAUAUGUGAGGGGCAUGAUGGAACUGAGACAUCAAAUGGUGAUGUCCUAAUAUUUCCAGACAUGGUCAGAUACAGGUGAAGUAAUGCAUAUCCGUUGUGGAUUAUGACGAUUUUUUCGUAGCAUGUGUUGAUAUUGAGCAAUUAAUGUAGGAGGUUAACUCAUUUUGACGUGGACACGUUUGUUGAGGAAGUACUUGUGAAGGAUGGUGAAUGGUUGCCUGGAACACCAGAAGCUCUAAGGGGCUGGUACAUAUUUGUGUGUUGUCAUGGUACUAGGGAUAGACGGUGUGGUGUUUGUGGGCCUGCUCUUGUUAAUAAGUUCAAUGAAGACAUCGAAUUACAUGGUCUUCAACAUAAGGUAUCUGUUAGUCCGUGCUCGCAUGUUGGGGGACACAAGUAUGCUGGAAACGUGAUCAUAUUUGGGCCAAAUAUCCAUAAAGAAAUCACUGGUCACUGGUAAUGAAAACCGCUUAAUGUUUUGCCCCCCCAAACAAAAAAUACCCGGGGUAGUUGAUAUCAUCCUUAAGCUUUCUGCUUAGUACAUGCUUUGUUGUUGAUGUAAAACUUUUGCAGCUGCCCUUACGUUCUUUGAUAACUGAUUUGAUUAGAAUGUGCACAUAGGUAUGGGUACGUGACACCAGAUGAUGUACCAAUUUUGCUUGAGCAGCAUAUAAGGAAAGGAGAAAUUGUAGAUUGGUUAUGGAGGUAAUUUUUCCUUUUAGUUCAUGUACUUUUGGUUUUACUUCGUGUUUUAUUUUAGCAUUGCUCUGGCUACAACAAGCACGUGCCUGCAUUUCUUGAUAUAAUAUAUAAGGACAUUUUCUGGCUCUUCAAGCAGUUAAUGUAAGCCUUACCUUACUUAAGCUGUUAAGUAAUGGGAUGCAGUUUCAUCUAUUCAGUAAAAGUUUUUUGGAGAAGAAGUCUUAUAUUUCUAAGGCAAGUGCCUGGUAAUAUAAGGACUGGUAGAGAGUUACUGGACAGGGAGUUAGGUUGAGUAUUAUGUCAUUUCUUCAGGGGACGGAUGGGAUUAUCAGAAGAUGAACAAAUAAACUCUCAGGAACUACGGCUCACAAUGAACUUGAUGCAAACCAAUGAUAAGAGUUCCAAUACAUGUGGUUCUCAAGCAGAGGGAUGUUGCCAGGCAAAUGGAAACUCCCUUUGUUGCCAGAACCCUCCAUUACCAGAAAAGAGAGAGACUCCUGAACUGAAAGAAGAGGCAGGAAAGUUUACAGCUGAAAAGAACAAGAGCCUUAAGAAACAAAUUUCUCGACGGAAUAGUGGCAAAGGGGCUUCCUGUCGCAAGGUCUGUUCUAUGCCUACUUGGUUUGAAAGCUGGGAACGUGAAGACACAUACGCAACACUCGCUGUUAUUGGUGCUGUCCUAUCAGUGGCCUUUGCCUAUAAUUGCUUCAAACAGUUAAGGUGAAAUCUUAAAAAUUCCUUUUAAGUUGCUUGCUGCUGUGACUUUGUAUUACAAAACUCUUGGUUCUCAUCUUCCAUUCACCGGUUGCUUAUUUUGAAGUUUCUGAAGGAAGAUCAAAAAGUUUGGGUUAGAAGGGGAAAGGAAACACCAUCAGAUGUAGAAAUUUAAAAUUGGAGAAUGCAAAUGAUAUAAGAUUGGUGUAUUGUGCUUCUUGUUUGCGCCGCUCGGAAUGCUGAUAUAUGUAAAUUCGGAAUCUGUAACUGUCAUAUUAACAGCCUUUUGUAAUCCUAAUUUCUUUGUGAAUAUUUAUCAAUUCCAUGUAAAGGUACCUGUGUCUUGUAUGCUCCAAUCUGAAAAUUAUGAAAUUAUGAACCUGGCCUGUUUCAAAUCAAGAUCCUGGCUUCAAAUCCUUAGGAAGCAGAUCAUUUCUUCAUGUAAGAUAGGAGCUGAUCAUUGCAUGUUAUUUUUGGCAAUUCAAGUAAAUUCUAUUAGGCAAAGCGGAUGCAAGAAAAGAGAGGAUAGAUACUUGUGUCCACACGGACUUCCAACUCGUUCAAUUCUUGCAAAGUAGCGCCGAACAACUGGGGCAGAAACAUAGGGAUGUGGUAAAACCUGGACACUCUACGAAUCAACUGCGUUGAAGGCGUGAAUAUGAAAAGUAAUCUAGAUUAUAUGUUCUCGAGUUGGACCUCUUCAUGGCAAAAGUAUAAGAAUCAGGUGUGGGUUGUAAAAUAUGGGUUGGAGUCGCCUGUAUUUCAUUUCGAAGUAAAAAUUUGUUAAAAAUUGGAACAAAGGCAAAGAUUUGUUUUAAUACGAGGUUCCAUUUUUUCUUUGUAAUUUACACUCACUUUCAGCGUAAGUUUCAUUCUACUUUUAGGUUAUGUAUCCUUCCAAUUUUAAAAGUUCUUACAUUUCAACGACUUACUUACGCUUCGGAGCUCCUUUGACUUUUCAAUCUUGACUCCCGGGAUUUAAACAGGUUCUGUGGAACGAGCGAUGAAUUGAGUGGCAAGUAUUCCACAAGCGGUACGAUACGUAUACAAGGAGUACACGUGAUAGGGACCUUCCACUUAAACAAAAGGAAAAAAAACAUCCUAUUGAGAAAUUACCGACCUUUAUCAAGAAUUUUCAACUGCUUUCUCGACGAUUACUUUUUUUAUCUACGCCUUUAUGGCAUUUCAUAUUUGAAGAUUUCUUCAGCAGCACAACGCAAUAACUCACAGGGCGUCAGGCGAAGCAGAACAGCAGAUCCACCAUUUUAAGUGCUCUUUUAGCGUCCCGUGCAUGCGCAUUCAGGUUAGAUGUUGAUUGGAUCCAUUACAAGUAAACAGCAUAAGAAUCUGAGAAUGAGGCACCAUAGGCCUGGCAGAAUCAGCAGUAUUGCCAUGUAAUUGGAAUUCUUUUGGAACACUGGAUCAGGAUUUCUACAACGUUUAUGAAUAAUGGUAGGAUUAUAUACCCAGAGACUGGCACUAUCUACUUGCGACUUAGCUUAGCUUAAUCCAGAACCUGCGAAUGAGAUGGUGCAGGCGUUUAAAACUGUUUUCUAUAAUUAAAUCUGCUCGCUUCAGAGCUGUCCCAAAAUGCAAUCACCUUAGAUUUAUACUACCAGAUGAUCUCCAGCUCAGUCAGCAUUGAUCUUGAUGCCACGUAAUGAAUUUGAAACCCCAUUUUGAUUCCCAAGCCUCUGGAACUCUGUCUCUAUAGUUUGAGCAAUCUUGGCACCCUCUGGAUCUGGCUCCGGGAAAUCCACAUGGAAUGAACCCUGUUUGAUGAGUGCAUCAGCCUCUAGGAGCUUAGCUUGCUCCUUUGUGUAGUUGUACAGCUGUUCAUGGAAACUAUGGUCCAAGGAGAAACAGUCAUCAUAUGUUCCAUUUCUAGAAUACCGAGAUGAGCUAGAGCCUUCCUUUUUACAAAAAUGUGGGAGAGAUGCAUAAUCCAUAAUCUGCAAGUGAGUAAUGAAUGAGUUAGCAUUCUAUUAACCAAACAAGACAUGCGAAACAUUUGCAAUUAGUUUGAGUACCUAAUCCACCCGCCACCCAGGUGAUCAAGCCAUCACUUAGACCUAUAGUGAAGUGUGUGUGUGUGUGCCUUUUUGAGAAACACGCAGAAUGAGGGAGAGCACCCGAUCAACAAACUCAGGAACUUGAACCGUAGUAAACAAGAGGCGAUCUCUUAAACAUUCUAAGAGCCAUCUACACACAACUUUUCUUAUUUAUACAAGUGUUGACAGAAUUUGAUAUGCAACUUUUGCUUUUCAAGUGUCUGUCCAAGUGGAUAUAGAUGCAAAUGAUAUCUAUGGCGUCAGGUAUUCAUCUUCAGCAACACCAUAUUAUGUUCACUUCGUUUGGACUAUCUCUUAGGCCAAAUUGAAAAGGGACCAUUCUUAGUGAAAUUGAUUAAUAAUCAGUAGCAUGAGUGAAAAUUCAAGACAAAAUGGAAAGCAUAAGAUUGGUUGUUGCAAAGAUCAACUUUAAGUCUGGUUGAGGAAACUCCUAAGCUAGUUGCAAAAACAGUCAAACCAUAAAAGCAAAGACUGCUUUGGACAAUCGCUAAUAUCAGUAUAAAGCAACAUUAUUCUCAAGAUGAACUUUACCAUCCAAUGGCUGCCUCACCUUCAAUAACUCAUCUCUUCCACUCCCUGAGAGCACUUGAACUUUCUUCCUUGUUCUUUCUUGCAAAAGAGGUCUCACUACCUGUAAACAACACAAACUUUCUUAAGAAACAUUACCAUGCAAGCAUUCAGUUAUCCUUUCUCCUCCAUGUUUUCUGACAUCGUUUUUAUACACAUUAACAAGUAUAAAUAUACACAUGCUCACCUUCCAACACGCUGAAAAUAUGUAUGGGGCAUUUACAAUGAAAUAAGUGUCUGUCUUCUCUGGGUAAUUCUGGUCAUCUAUUGUAGAUAGAACAGUCGUUAUCUGCCAAAACAAAAAACACAAAUACAGAUCAGUCCCAAGAAGGAAUUUCAGAAUUGAGUUAUUAUCUCUCCCAUUAAAAAGAUAAAAAGACAAAACAAUGCAUGCAUCAAUGUCUUGAAAUUAAGAAAAUGAAAAGAAAGUUACAGUCAACAUUAUAGUGGUAGAAGGUUACAAAAUACCACAAGUUACUAAAAGUUCAGCAAUCUUCAUGAAGUAUAAGCUACAUUAGUUCAUGACUUGCACUUAAACAAAGUUAAAAACAAAAGUACUGAUUACUGCCAGAAGAUACUGGAUCUAGGGUGACGAACUUUGCUGGUAAAGAAUUGUAUUUAAAAAGAAGUCAAAUAGAGGUUCUAAAAUCCAUAACUCUUUAUUUUGGAGGGGGGGAGUUGGGGGUGAGGGGGAGAACGGGGUGGGAAAGCGUUUUGACCAGGCAAAGGAAGCUAAUUCAUCACUGAUUCCUACAGAUAACAACAGAACACUUCUGCUCUGAACACAAAAAUCAAUCAUCUGAAAUACCUUGAUGUGGUUCAAUGCAGAAAGCUUCAAACCAGUCAUGUCCAAGACCUUUAUACAAGUGCUGAUAUGUCGCCCAAAUUUCUUUGUUGCAGAAGGCUAUAACACUAUAAGUGGUUAGUUUGAUAGAUAAUCACCAGAUAAGUUAUGAGUAAAUUUCAUAUACAUUGACAGUGUAUACACUAUCAGCAUUGGAUCCAUGACAUGUGCAAAAGUUGGAUUUUAAAUUCAAAUUUUACAUAGUCAUCAUUCGUCCAAGGCUGACAUUGUAUACACUGUUAGCGUAGGAAAGACUAAUCCAUCAGUUAUAUGUAGAGAACAAAACAUACCAAUAUCACACGGUCUCUAUAUUCAUUCAUUUGGAUGUGAGACUGAAUAUAGUAGUGAAUCUGUACAAGGAACAGUUCUACUUAGCAAGUUCACUUGCAGAUAAUACCACAGUACACAGUUGUUAAUCAAGAUAAAACUAUGGUAUCUUACAGAUGCUUUGUCAAACAUGCUGAGCCCCACACCAAUAGCAAUGACAGGAAGACCCUAAACAUUUAAAAAGCAACAAGAAAACCAUGAGCAGAGAGUCAACUAAAACAUCACUGUUGGAACACUAAAAGCAGUCACUAUUUGUUGAAAAUGAGCUAAGGGAAAAGUGAUCUAACGCAAUAGAUAUACAGUUGAUAAACAUCAUUAUAAAACAGCAAUACAUGAAAAUAAUCAGGAUAAGCAUACAUCAUGUUACCUCCUUUGAGUAUCCUGACAUUCCCAUAAGAUAGGAAUCUCUCAGUCCUCUGUACAAAUCAGUGGGGAUAAUAGGUUUCUGCAGAGAACAUAUAAUAUUAUUAGGAAGGACGAACUUCAUCUGCCAACUUCCAAUUCAAUCUUUGAUUCAUUUAACAUCCUAAAGCCCCUAAAAGUGUAAUGCAAUUGCAAUACCUGCAACUAUAAUAGUUUAAGAAAUUUUGGAAGUUGAAAUUCAUGCUAGUCUUAAUGGGGCAAUAUCUUCAAUGAGUAGGCUAAGCAUAGGAGAUUCUAAGCUUUUUUUAGCAUAAAAGACAAUUAACUCCAUAUGUCGUCUGCAAUACCGUAACACUGAAUCACAGCCAGAAAUGGAAAAAUAACUACACUUGUCCUCCAUGAAAUGACAAACACUAAAAGGAGGCAUCAUAACCACAUCAACAACAUAUGUUGAUCUGUUUGUACAGCAUGUUAUAUCUUCCAAAAAAUGAUUAUUUUUUAUACUAUUGCACUUCAUCUUAAAACCUUAAAAGGUGUAUACACAGAAAAUUCAUGCAUUUAAGCAGACUGAACGCAAAUCAAUCAUCGAUCCAAUCAAUAUUAAUAAAAUUAUCAGAGGCAACAAUAUUACAUCACUACAACUUGGAAAAUGAGUAAAUUUUGACAUGAUGAUCAAACUCACCGUCAAUAUAUCAUCAAUUUCAUUUUGGAUCCUCCAGUUUAAACUGUCAACAAGCUGCCAAAAACAAAAAAAAAAAAAUUGAGAAAAGAUGACAACUACAAAUAUCAUGGCAAAUGCAACGAUUUAUUUCAAAAUUCUACUCAAAUUAAAUCAAACCAUUUUAUGAGCUUUGGAGACAUUCCCAUCCCUUGCUUUUAGAAACCUGAUGAGGGUCCCAGAUGGGUAUCCUUGAUGCACAUUCUGCAGUCAAGGUAAAAAAACAUUAGAUAAUUAUUAUAAAUUUUCUGCACAGAGACUUAUACUAACCAUUCCUGGUUAAACUCAAUAAUCUAAGAAAUUCACUCAUGCAGAGACCAUACCAAGAUAUUUCAAUUUAACUUCCUAUUUGUUUACUUGAUCUGUGCCCUAAUGCAUGAUGUCACGAAACCCUUACUGGUGCUUGCUUCAUUUCAGGAAAAUUCAAUCUUGAUUGCAAACAUACCCAAGCAACAAACUAAAAGCUUCAAGCAAUCAACAACAGCAUUGAGUUGCAUUGCUGCAUCAUAACCGAUAAUGGAUGACAUAAAAGGGAGUUUUGACUUGGCAUUGACCAUCACAGAGACCAAAAAUUCACCAGCAACAGGAAUUAAUAAAUAUACACGGAAACAAAACCCCAAAAAAAAAUAAAAAGGGGCAAAAACAAGGAACAAAAAUUUCCAGCAAAAACCCAGAUCAAGUUUGCUCUUUUACAACAGAUCAAUCACACUUUUCACACUUUCAAGUGUACAACCAUACAAAAAAAUUACGAAUGGGCUAAAGGGCUAACCUGAAAAGUCUUCUUGAGCGGCUCAGCAACUGCAAAAUAGGCGAAAAAGAAAGUGUAAACAACAGAUCCAGGGAAGAAAGACUAUCAAGUCAAUGAAAUAUGGGGUGUAAAAAUUGUAAAGGAGCUGACUUUCUUCCAUCAGAGUUUGAAAUUCCUUGAUACUUUCUUCAGUGAUGAACACCAUUUUCUGCUUUUCUGGUAAUCUUGCACUUCAAAAAAUUUAAUGAGUAGAUUCAGACUUUUGUUUUGAAUUUUCUGGCCUUUCUCCUUGCUAGCCUUGUAUAGUAUCCUUAAUUUGUAUUUUGCGCAAUAACUUUUUUUGUGGGUAAUUUUCUAGAGGUGAGGUAUUGGUUUCAGACAAUUAAUGUCUGUGGUGAAUUGUUGUGGCCCUUGUGGAAGUACGAGCCUGCCUCUGCCUUCUCUGCUCAUUUCUAUACAGCUUUUUAAUGCUGUUGGCAUUAAAGUAUGAUGCAUGAAUUGAAAUUUACACAAAAUUUUGUAGUAUUCUUCUUUAAUUCUCUUUUUUUUUUUGGCUUGACUUGCAAUACCGGUCAACUAUUUUGAGCAGUACGACAGAUUUGACUAAUUUAUGCAGCAAAUUUGUUGUUAUCACCCAAAAAAUAUGUGCUUGAUUAUGUCAAUUUAUUUCAGCACUAAGUUUCUUAUUUGGUUUUUUUUUUUAUUGUUUAGGACACUAAGGUAUGUUUGAUGAAAUUGAAAUAUAAAUCUGAAAUAUAAAUUCGUUAAGUGAUUGAAUUAUUAAGGAAUAAAUAUGAUAUAUUUGAGUAUAUGACACAUCACAUUAAAUAAUAAGUGCAAAGUCAUACAUUUGAUAAAUGAAUAGUGAAUAGUUUAUCAUUUAUUAUUUUGGAAGUUUUAUUCAAAAAAAUUCAAUGUCACUUAAUUAAUUAAAAAUAAGUUUAUAUAUUUUAUUGUUAUUAUGAAAUGUUUUAUUAAGAUUUGAAUAUGAGAAAUUUAAAAGAUGAAUUAGGUCAUGAAAUAGAACCUAAAUAAGCACACAUAAAAGUGCUCGAUGAGAACUAAACUACCAUUGAACCAGACGGGUACGCUCUGCACCCCUAUGAAUUUUUUAAGAAACCACAUAUUGCGACAACUGAUGGAAGACAAUAUUUAAACUCUUGACCUCCUACGCCACCAAACCUUAUAGGCUUUGUGGUGGGCAAGGUUUAGUGUGCUCAUUAUUAGAUCAUUAAAGUUACCACCAACCCCUAAAUCAUAAUAUCCUUCUGGGAAAAAAAGAUAAAAUAUUAAUUUAUUUUUUGUUAUUUAUACUUCCACCGUUUUUUUAAUCAAAUAGUCUAAUAAAUAAAAUCUAUAUGAUUGGAAUGACAAAGAAAGUGUAAUUAACAAAAAUGGAAGUGCAAAUAAUAUUUCUCAAAGAAAAAAGGAAAAAAUUUAAUAAUAACACCGGACUCACUUCUGCAUAGAGGAACUCCUUUUAUUUUUAUGCUUCUAUAGGUACUUUGAUAAGUAAAUCCGAAAACGUAAUAAAAAAAAAAGAUAUGAUUUGCUGCAUCUAAGAUAUAAAAGGUAUGAUUGAUCAAAUUUGUAACCCCAAAUUUCGAGAGGGUAUAAAUUCUUUGCAGUGUAUAAUAUGAUCACGGAUUUGAUGCAAAAAAAGAAAUAAAUGAAGGUAUGGUGGAGAUAUGAAAAUUUUCUUCUAAAAUAGGAGCAAAAGUACAAGCCACUUAUAAAGGCGUCUACCGUAUAAUAAGGUAUGUCGUAUUUAGCAAUGUGGCUCAUACGAAGAAUGAAGUUGUGACGAUUGUCGGUGAUGCCUACAAAUGAUGCGGCUGAUUACGGCCAAAUAUAAAUGAAAUGCAGAAAAAAAUAAAGAAAUAGGAAUACACAAAGCGGUGCAUUUACUUUUAGGGCCUAGUUUUUUUUUUCCCUGCUUGUGAGAGUUGACGAUAAAUAGGUUUGACAUUAUUUAAAUAAUUCGACUAAAUCAUGGCCUCAACCAACUUUAGGGCUAAUUCGAUUAAGACAUUAUAUAUUAUUAGUUUAGGACGUACAGGUUGCUAAAAUGUCACACUCAAGGGCUGGCUAUCAUCCAUCAGUAUAUGCAAAGUUUGCAUAUAAAAUUAGGAUUAAUCUUCUGUACACUGAUAAUAUAUAUACUUUCACCAUUAGAUACAUGGCGCAUAAUUCGAAUUUGAAUUUAAAAAUCAAAUUUUGUCUAUAUGUUGUAUAUUCAAUCGUGAAUCUUAUUUGAAUUACACGAACCUCCUAUUAUUAUUUUGAAACGAAUAAACGAGAAAAUAUUUACAGAUUUUAAAAAUAUUCUUAUUAUACAAAAAAUAGGAUAUUAAAUUUAAGUAUGAGAAUGUAUAGCUUGAUUUAUCAAAUUUCUUUUUCUCUUUCCGUUUCUUAAAUCUUAAAUCUUACUCUUAGAGUGAAGUCUGAUUUUCAGUCUAAUUUUCAAGCAUGAAAAAUCUCGAGAGAGAGGUCAAGCCAAACUAUAGGCGACACCUUUUAUUGGGUUUGUUUGGAUAGAUUAUUAUUUAAAAUAAUUAUUUUAGUAUUUUUUGUGAUGUGAUAUAUUUGAGAUAAAAAAAUUAUUAAAAAUAUGAAAAGGUGGUUGCGCUACAGCUACUGUAACGCGCUUCCUGCCCUUUUCGCUGUCAGCGCACUGACCUUUUCCGUUUCUGCUCGGUAGAACGGAGAAUAUACGACAGACUUUUAUACGUAAUAAUUAUAUUGACUAGCGUUCAAAGAACAGAAUAAUUUGACAAAGCUCUGAGAUGGUUGGGCCAAAUUGCCCCUGUGAACUGGCUCUUGUUUUCAGGAAUAAAAGUCGAGUAAACCUUGAAAUGUUUUGAAAUUGCUCUCGAGAGUCUGCUUUUGAAAUGUUUCCCUUUUUCCUGCUUCACCAGUUUAUACCAUUUCAAUUCAAAGUUGUCAUGCUAAAGCCAUUGAAUUGUAAAGUGUGGUAAACGAGGUGUAGGGAAAAGAAAAGGAUAAAACUAAUAAGAGAGAAUUAGCAAUUUAAUAUCCUUCUUUGAGAAAGCUAGUAAUACAAGUGCCGCCUAGGGGUCGAUUUUUAAAUGGUGAAGUUUGAAGUUUCUUAUAGUUUUUUUUAUUUUUCCAAUUUGGAGGGGAAGCUACUUGGCAACAGUUUCCCCUAUAUUUUUUCUGCCAUUCCUUACAUGGUUGGCGCUCACCAAGAAGGAGUCAGGUGUUAAAAUUUUUUUUUUUUUAAAAACGUAACUAAUUUGAAAAAAAAAAUCUAUAAUCACGUGUGUUCCAUUAAAAAAAAAAAUCAUUUCUCGUAGUCAAAUAAGUGGGAAUCUAUAUAUAUAUAUUAAUAAUUAUUAUCAUCUGUUGUAUUUAUAUACUUGCCCUGUUUAAUCUUACUUACCUUGCCUUUUCUUGUAUUUAUUUACUUUCUUUAAUCCAUUUUACAUUUCUAAAAAUAUAACAUCUCAUAUAAUAUUUUAAUAGAACACCCUUGAAACAGAUCGUAAAAACAAAAAAGCAGUUGCACCAAAAAAAAAAUAAAAUUCCCUCAAUCAAAAUAUACGUGCGGGACCUUUUCCACCAAAAUAUGCACAUGUCCAUGUGACCACAUAUGCCAUCAUUCACAAACAGCCAACUUCAUAUGUUGGUAAAGGCCACCUAACCACUAUGAUUAUUCCUACUAAUUCAAUCAAGACUUUUUUCUUUUAAUACUAGUAUAUGUCGGAGGUUCGAACUUCAAACCUCACGCUUACACUCUCGUCUAGUGGGUUUUGUCCUUGAGAUUCACAUUCAAAAAUUGCCAAUCUCGUCAAUCGAUCUGGGUUUGUCCUUCACUCUUUAUGGAUCGUUCGGCAACCUCUCCUUCAUUCUCUACAUAAUCAAAAGAUGAUUUUCCACCGUACCAUAGUAUCGUGUUUUCCAUCCGCUUCCAUAUUCCAUUCCAAACUCUGCCUAUCAUCAAAAAAGAAACCACAAAGGAGGAAAAAAAAAAAAAAAAACUGAAAACAGAGAAACGUAAGUGCAUGCUGCAGCAUUUUGACUUGUCUCAUUCAAUAUCAUUAUCGGAAUUGAUGCCAUCUUUUAUUUUCGCUGCAUUUCGCUUUUCCACAGAAAGACGGCACCCCUUGAGUCUCUUGCCACUCAUCCAUCGAUCGAUGCUUCCGAUCGUAUUGUUGGAUUCUUUAAGCAUUGAGCUAAAAACAAGAAAAAGGAAAAGAAUCUCACUCUUUCAAAUUCUCAAGUAUUGAUGGUGCUUUAUCUUGGUCGAUGGACCUCUGACCAUUGCUUCUUUUGGAGUACACAUGAAAAAAUUCAACUAACGUAAUUGACCCGAACGAACAAACAAACAGAGCAGUCGUAAAAUAUUCAGAAGGAACGUGCAUGCAUGGUAAACUGUUCGAACAUAAUGCCAAUCUCUUCAGAAUAUGAAUCAAUGUACGUGGAAGCUCGCACGAAGCAGCCAGCUAAUCCAAUGUAGUAAUAGCGUGCAGGAGUCAAAAACUUAUGAAUCCACUUUAGAAUCUAAGCAUCCACAAUUACGCAUGCUCCUGUCCUGUCUUUUGCUUUUCAGGCCCGACUACGUACUGUGGUCUGUAACCUUAUCAUAUCCAAUGGUUAUGUUUCAUGCGAUAAUUUUUAUGAAAAUAGGGAAAAAAUUUGGACGCGCGGUUGAUGUUGGCAAUUAAACAUUUUUCACAUCAAGUACCAAAAUCAGAUAAAACUACAUCCUAAGCCAGUCCUUCUCCCUUCUUUUCUUUUUUUUUUUUUUUUGUUUUGAAGGUGAGCUAAUCCUUCUCCUUUUGAACCAUAUAUGUUCCUUUUUCAGCAUUAAAAAAGAAAAAUUUCUCCUGCAUCAAGCCUGGCCAUAUGGGAAAGAUUUGCUACCAAGAUCAACUAGGUUCAAUUUUUAUCUCUCUCGUUGCCGUUUGUGAAAAGAUGAAUUUCCAUGGACGUGAGUGAGGACCAUAUCUGUAGCUUAAUGCAAAGACCAUGCUGGACAGUUUGUGGUUGAUAAUUGUGCUUGGGACAAAAGAGAAGUCACAAAACAACGAACAUCCGAGCAGCCCAAUAUUUGCUCCCCACUUAAAUAUGUUACUGAAUUUUUGGUAAGUAAAAAGCCAAUAAAUAAUGCAAAUCUUUCCAUUUGAGGACAUGGAAGAUGACAGCCGAAAGAAAUAGAAGCGCAGCAAGGAGGAGGUGGAGGAAGGAAAUGCAAGGACCACAAUUCCACCAGCACUAAAUGUUACUACCACAUUGGAUUAUUGAAGAGAUUGAGAGACUUUCUCCAGCUCUAUUCUAUAUUAUGUCCUACGCGUAUGUCUGUCGUUGUAUAUGUGAAUUAUCUGUCCGUCCGGCUCUCUCAUAAGUCAUAAUAUAAACUUUAGAAAAGAAUGAGAACGAUAUGUCGACCAAUGAAUGGAAAGGAGGAUACCCCAAAUUUCAUCAUGACUACAAGGAGUACUAAAUAUAAAGUGGUAAAGAACAUUUUAAGUGUGGACUAUAGUCUUUAUAUGUGGAGGCUGCAUCUUAUCAUCAUCCCAACCAGCAUUUUUGUACUGGAAUAUGCUAUUGGCAUCCUCGAGAAUUUAGCCCAGUAGUUAAUACUGAAAUUUCAGAAGUUGGAAGUUUUGUUUUGAACCCAAAUUUCCUUUUCUUUUUUUGCUUCUUAAAUUUUAUCCGUCAUUUCUUUAAGUGAAAGAAAAAAAAAAAAAAAGGAAAAGGAUUGUCGAGAAUGGCACGUCAUCUUCCAUGGCUGAUUACAAUCGCUGCUAAGGGGCUCUUUCAAAAAUUGAGCAGAAUGGUGUGUGAUAUUUAUGUCCUUUUUCAAAACAUGCGGGGAUAGCUCAGUUGGGAGAGCGUCAGACUGAAGAUCUGAAGGUUGCGUGUUCGAUCCACGCUCACCGCAUUUUACCUUUUUUCCCCCUGGGUAGUGGUAUUUUGUCCCCUUGCAAAAGGACACAUUUAUUCGAAUUCUAUAAUGGGAACUUCUGCCUUCAGCCAAGGUUACCACCACCCUUCGGCCUACAUCCAACUUGGUAAAAAUUGGGCGAGUAAAAGUACAUGCUUCAGUAACUCGAAAUUGCAGUUAAAUGACUCUUGAUUGGGAUCGCUUCAUGGCCCACAAGCAUUUUUACAAACAAGGGAAGGAGCAUCCCCAAGAAAGAAGGGUAGGAGUGCCUGAAAAUGGAGAUGAUGUUCGCUUCUGACAAAUACGUUGGUGUACGUGUUGUUGCUCCAUGAAGGCUCACAUCAUUAAAAAGAGAUUUUUAAGUGUCAAAAUUCACAUUAUGGACUGAUAAGCGUUAAAACACUUUUCAGUAUUUGCAAUACAACAAAUGGAACUGUUCUUUAACAACAUCAAGCAAUAAUAUGAUCAACAACUUCUCCAACAUAAGAGAACCCUGACUUCCAACAGCUUUGCUAUGUCCAGGUAGGUGCUACGUAUUUCCCUUGGCGGAAACAAAUAGCCAACCAGCUUUGAAAGCCAUUAAAAGAAAUCAAAUUCGAGGUAAUUAUCAGAAUUUUGCUGAAAGGGCAUAGCUCC
rnacentral:lncRNA from 1 species